AUCUCUAUUGUUCUUCUUGGUGAAUUUAACUUUCUUUAAACACUGCCCCUGCCGAGUCGAAACAGACCCUAACUUGUUUUUUAUUGGCAACUCCUUUUGCUUGUUUUAAGUUUUCUCCUACCGCUGAAUUGGAGAUGCCAUCAAAAUUAACAAACGUUGUUUUCUAUCAGUUUUUAACUGGUAACAUAACCCACGUAGUCAGCUGGAAAGCAAGCGGGAGAUUUUAAAUUAACAGAAAUAACUCAAAAAUUGUUCCCAGGAAAAAAAAAAAAAACGAAGAAAAAAAGUUGAUGGACAUAUUUCAAAAUGGCUUGUAGUUUGAAGGUCUCCGUACAUAUAUAUGUGUACAAAGGUUCUUCUUUUUAGAAUUUGUUCUCUGUCAUUUGGUUUCUAGGGUUUGGGGAAGGACGGUAUUAUUUGCAUCGAGGAUCUCGUUCACGAAAUCAUGACUGUCGGGCCGCACUUCAAGGAGGCGAACAACUUCCUUUGGCCCUUCAAGCUGAAGGCGCCGUUGGGCGGGUUGGAGAAGAAGAGGAAUCACUACGUCGAAGGCGGCGACGCCGGAAACCGCGAGGAUUACAUCAACGAGCUCAUUAGGCGGAUGAAUUAAUCCAGAUUGCUGUGGCAUCUUUAGUGCUUGUUCUUGGGAGGGGUUUUUUUUUUAUUUUUUUAUUUAAUCUUGGAAUUGGAAUUAGACCUUUGCUACAUUUGCAGGUAGAGAACAUGAACAAUCUGCGAUUUUGCUGUUUUAGCAUCAACUAUUGGACAUGUUGUGGUCGCAGAAUGCUUCUGCUGCUACAUCUAUUUAUAUAUGCAUUUUAUUUCAUUGUUUCCAAUUUCAAUAUUUCUUGCAGAAUUCGCUCGCUUUCAGUUUUUCGACUUUUGUUUUGAAAAAUUCAGAUCUUCUUUGGAUGAACUUCACAUUGGAUUUUUGCUUAUUUCCAGUUUUACGGCCGUGUAGCUGUUUUGCAUCGUCUUUCUUUUGUUGCUUUGUCAAAUUAAACUGCACCUGCAGAGUAGGCAGGGGUAACUUCAUUGAACCGCAGAUAAGAUGCAGUUUGCUCCCCAAAGCUUUUUGAUUUUCAUAAUUUGGUAUUAUCUUAUCUUCUGUAGGUUUUAUCACCAUACACAUCUUGCUAUAAAUUAUAAUCAGAGAGUACGAUAAAAUUAUUGUGGUGAAAAUGACGGCGGAAACUAUCGCCGGAGAAGUUUACGCAUAAUGCCAAACAAGUCUUAGAUCUACUGUAAUUGACAAAGAUAGCCAUGUAGAUGGUGGGGAAUCAAAUCAAAUUGAGAUUCUAUCACUGAGAUUCUAGCACUAAGGAACUUGACAAAGAUCAUACUGCACCAAUUGAAAGGUCUUAGUAACCAUAAUAAAACUCCACAAAGACCAAAAAACAGAGACCUUGGCAAUUGGAAUGAAUGUAGGUUUUAACAAAUAAACAAGAAGAAACCUCGCCGCACCCAUGUUUUCAUCGCAACAUCUUAUCGAACUAUAUCUUUCCACUGGUUAACACAAACAAAUGCCAUCCUUUUUUGCUGUAAAUGCGCGACUGGCCACAUAUCAAGGAAAAGAACAAGUCCCAGAUGAUGAAAAGAAAAUGCUAAUAACAGAGAAACGGCCGCAAACUACUAAACCCACAAAAUUACUAACUAAUAUGAUGAUAUAUUAUUUGUGACCACUGGAAGAUCUGAAUAAAUAAAAUAAAGAUACUGAGAGAGUAGCGUAAAAUGUUAAGCAUCUCCUCUUUAAUUUCUAAUGAUACAACUAUUAAUAAGAUGUUCUGCUAAUUCUAUGGCAUUGGCAUUUCAUCCUAUUAAUAUGAUCUAGCAGAUUAAAUAAAAAGAGAGUGAGGGUGAAAAACAAAAAAGGCCAUCAAAGACCGUCAUUUCGACAUGCGUGUCGAAGUCCGUUUUCUAUGAUCUAAUUCAACUAAUAAUAGCAUGGAAAAAAGUUGUAGACAUACCAAAAUCUAUGUGAAUAAUGUGUGAGAAGAUGUUUAAUGGUGUUCAGAUCUCCCUUGCUUUCUGCCGAAUGGCCUGACGGGAGCUUUAGUUAUUGGAUUUGCAUCCGCUCCCCUCGAAACCGCUUCAGCUUUAUCGUUUCGAGGGACGAUUCUCAACGGAUGGGCUUCGGUGUUGAAGACCCACUCGUCUAAUGAGAUUAGCGACGGCGGGGAGAAUAAGAGGUAGAGAUACUUGAGAGUCUCCGCGAGGAAGAAGCUCUGCAUCAUGUUGUCUUUUGCACCUGUGUUGACCUGAGGGGAAAAAUAAAGGUUCUAUCAACUUAAAACGACAAAAUACCCGCAAAAGUUCGGAUUGCUUUUCAUUAAUGUUCUCUCCAACAGCUUCCCGCUGCAGCAAGAGCAGAAGAUUCAAACUAGAGCUUCUACUGAUGGAGUUUCAAAAGGCAAGGCAAAAACUCACCGUCUACAACCCGAAAUAGAUCCUUGAAUUUGACUUUCUAGAUUUGAACGCACAACUAAAAUGUAGUUUGAUUUAAAAAAAAUUCUGCAAGACGCCAACAACAUUUGAUAGAUACAAGCAAAAAGUAAGGAGUAGCAAAAUUUUCAGUCAGUUGGCAAAUACCACGACAAAAAAGUAACAAAAGAUCAUCAAAUUCUCCAAAUUUUUUUUGAAAUCAAACAACACUAGUCAAGGGUUUCAAAUCCAAAUACUUGGAAGUUCAGGGAUCUGUUUCGGAAGGACCGAUAAUUUGGUGGGUAUACACCCAUAGCGACUAAUGCUUAUGUAGAAGAAUAAUAUGUAGCUAAUUAACUCUAAAAUAGCAUGCAAGAGCUAUAAAAAAAAAAAUUCUAGGUACAAAAGCACUUACAUCCUUCAAUCCAACAUAACCCGACUCGAUCCGAGAGUUCUUCUCAAAUGCUUGGAAUAUGUUCCAACCCCACUCUUGGUAUGUUUUGUUCCCAGUAAGCCGAUAGAGAUACAUCAGCGACUCGACGGUCUCUGGUCUAAGUAUAUUCCACGAUGUGCCCACCGUCAUGUCCUGUAACACGCAUUUGAAAAUUAGUUUAAACCAUAUUUUUGACGCAUUCGAAGCUAAAUUUAUUACAAAAGACAAAAAUAUGCAACCUGUCCAGAAUGGAAAAAGUAAUUUUCUCCAGCUAAUUUUGUCGGAGUAGAUUGAUAGAAAUUAUAACAAGUCCAAGCAAGCUGCAAAAGCAAAGAGUCCAAAACCAAAGAGAAAAAUUAUGUUUUAACUUUGUCCUAUAUAUUACUUAAUUUUUUUUAAAAAAAAUGGAAAUAAUCUUCUGAAAUCUAUACCUCUUCUGCGAGUGAUAAAAUUUUCUCUCCUUUUUCAGAACCAUAACCGAAAGAUCCUAAAGCCAGCAUUCCAGGAACAAAGCACGCAAGCUCAUCCAUCUACAAGCAUUAAAAAUUAAAGCUAUAUACUUCAUGAAAAUAAUGAAGUAUUGAGCAUAAAAGUUCACAAGAACUAUGAAAUUGCCACUGAUAAAAGAGAGACAAAUUACCUUAUCAGACACAGAAACACCGUUCUUUUCACAAAUGUACGUGAAAGAAGAUGGAGUAGUUCUUCUAACUAAGCUCAAUAGACCCUCCAUUGAUGUUUCCCACAUUUUUCUGUAUUAAUGAAGUUGUCUAAUUAGCUCAGUAUUUGGUUUAUUAGCCACUGUAAAGACGAAAUAUCGGUAACAUAUAAAGUGCUUUAAAAAAAACUGGAGAUAAAAGAGACACCACAAUUGAAUAUAAAUUUCAAAUACUGAAAAAUUAAACCAAAAAAAAAAAAAGAAGCCUCAAACCUGUAAUGCUUCACAGGUUCAGUUUUGUUCCCUUGUAUCCAGGCUUUGAGUAAAUAUUCAUAGAAACUGCAAUAUAUUUACAUGCUCAGAUUUCAGAGUUUGGCAUUGAAAGCAUUAAAGCAUCAAAGUACAAGCCAAAUAAUAAAGCCAAGAAAAGAAUGAUCCAGAUGAGUAAGAAUUAAUGUAAAAAAGAACUAGGUCAUGAUUAAAAUAAGGAGAAGUGGUAUUACCUGUCGCCCAUGGCACCAAAUGUGAUGGUCGAAUACGAUGAAGAUCCUGAGUGAGGAUUUAUAUAUAUAGGAAGCAAACCAUCAUUCGGAAAUGUUUUCUGAAGCUGUCUGAUGACAUUUUCCGCCUGAAAAUGACAGUAUAAUAGCUUCUUACAAUAAACAAAAAGGAGAAUGAGAUCUUACUGAAAAUAUAGCGACUCACAAGUCGCUAUAACAUAGGAAUGUAUCACAUCAUUACACUUGCAAAUUUGUGCUAUUUCCAAUUUUACACAAUUUGUAAGGCACCUAAUAGAGCUUGCUAAAUGCAUUAACCAAUAACAUAGAAUAGUACAGACACAACCAGAUUUAUAGUGCAUUUUGAAAUGGCUUCUUGAAUAUUAGAAGUUCUGAUCUCAGUACCUGAUCUUUCACCAUUUCGUAUCUCACUACAUCUUUGUCAAAGCUUAAUGGUAUUUGUUGUUACAUUAUUUAUGAAUGCUACUGGGUGGAAUAUUCUAAGAGUUCUUGUUCUACAGAAACUGUAAUCAGAGUCCGCUAGAAAGGCAGGGAAAUCAGAAAUAAUGAAGGUGUUGUAUAGAAACCAAAGCUUUUAUGUUCAAGUAUCCAUUAUAGAAUGUGUAUUAUAGCUCAAGUGAUGUCAAGGCAAUUCUACUUUCCAGUAAAUAAUAGUUAUAUUGAUUUUUUACUUCAGAAUACAGUGUUAGACCUUGAAAGAGGAAUCCACCACAACUGUUACCAGCCUGUCCCAGCCCCAUCUAUGUAUUCAAAUAUCAAAAUGUCAAGUAGAUAUAUUGAUUAACUUAUUCUAUUUAAUAUUAAGUAACCAUUGCCUGGCCCAUCACUUGCCAACCGACCAAUUAAAUGAGUUUUUCCAGCCUACAAUCCAAGUGGAAGGGAAAGCAGAGGGCAACCAAGGAAAUAGCCACAACCCCUAACUUGAGAUAUCGCAACCUCAGUGCAUCAACCUAACAAUUUAAACACAUUUCUCUCAGCCAAAAAAAACUUAUUCCUAUACCCAGUUGGAUAGGACACUUCAGAUCCUCUGGCCAUUAAAUAUACUAAAUUAGAUAUAUAAACUAACCUAGAACAUCAUCAUCCUUAGGCGCACUCCAGAUCAGUAGGUCAAUAGUUUUGAACUCUCAAGUUCACACCAAAUAACAGAAAACAUUGAUGGUUCUUAGAAAGAAAAAGCAUUAGGUACAUUAAUAACCAUAAAACCAAAGUAGAGUUAGACAAGCAUUCAUGCACCCACAACAGGAGCCUCUGACAAAUAAAUCUAAAACUGUGCCAAACCAGUAAAAGAAGAAAAAAAAGAACCUUCUGCUGGUAUUUAGGAUCACCCGUCCUCUGCGAUAAAGCAAUGAAUUCAAGUUGCUCAGUACCUGAGUCAGCCAGGAUACUAUCUCCCUGGAAAAAGGCAAAAGCAUGUGAAGGAGGAUGUGACCAGUGAAUAAGGAGUAACGGGAUUAUACGGUGAUAUUAAAAUGCAAUGCUCAAAGAAUAUCAUGCUUGAAGGGGAACUACUCCAGUCAUAAUAAGAACAGUGAAAUUAAUAUGAUAAGAAAUUACAUGCCAAGAGGUACAUUUUCAAUCAAAUUAUCAAGCAUUGAUUGUCCAGGAAUGUCAACAUUAUUUGACACUUCGGUAUGACCACGCAUAGAAAUGAGGAUAAAUCUCUAAAUCGAAAGUUGCCAUCAUUUUACAUUGUUUAAACUCUUCCCAGUAGGUCACUCAAAAUUGAAUAGAAACAAAGGCAAUGAUCAAAAGAAUAUGUUAUUGCAUGACAAAUGAAACCAAGCAUAAGAUAAUAAGAGAAAAGGCAUUGAUAACAUACUCUGGUCCAUCCGGGAUUAUGAGCUUGGCCACGAGCCAAGUUAAUUCUGUUGUAGGGUAUGCCUGAUGAUGUAUCCCAUGCUGGUAGCAAUCUAUCAGCGAUGUCUUUAGCCUUCUCUAGAAAUACACCAUCGCCAGAGAGAUCAUAUGCACUUAGAAGUCCACCAACGACCCUGAAUGAGGAAAAACCAAACAUUUAGGAUCAGUAGCAUAAAAAAACAUACAGACUGUACAUAUAUUAAAGCACAUUUUCUAAUGGCACCCAAACUUUAAAAUUUUGUGUUUAGUUAGAACCUUACAAUAUGUCUAAUUUAAGUGCCUCUCCGUCACAACUUCAUGGCGUUUAACUUUGUAACAAAAUAUUCUGUAAGCUAAUGAAUAUUCGUUACUUGAUGGGAUAGUCUCAUCAUCGUGGAUAAAAAUUAUUAAAUAUUCACAGAAAUUGACAUGUAAAUGUUCUGAAACCGAACAAGCUCUAAGGUUUUUACUAAAAUCAAAAUUUUUGCCAUUUAGGUACCCAUCUUAAAACGUGUUAUAUUUCAGAUAAGGUUUAUAUGUUAUUACCUAAAUAGAAAAGUAGAAUUAACUGUAACCUGUAGUCCUACAUUCGGAGAAACCUUACCCAAUAUAACCAAUAAUCCAUACCUAAGUACCUAGAAACGAAGAUAAAGAAUCCAAAAGAUUAAACCUUAUAAAGCAACCUGAUGGUUGUCUCAAAAACACUUGCUUCAUAAUCCUUGUUGAAAUCUAACGUGUUCGCAACCCACCUGCAUUCAAGCAGAGAAUGGAAGUUAGACAGUUAUCAAAAUUGUGUGCUGAGAGUCUCGAUGUGGGAUGGCAAAAUGGCUUCUCCAUUCAAAAGUAUAAUAACUAGACUAUAUAAUCAUGUCUAGAAAACCAUAUAAAAUUUCAUGGGUAGCACUCAAAUGGAGAAUUUUUGGCACCAAACUACUAAAUUAAUAUGAAAAAGAAUAUGACUCACUCUCUAGCUUUUUGAAACUCAUCUUCCAGGCCCAUUAUGUAGAGUGUAUCCAGAGAGUCCACAAGGGUUGCUCCAAGACCACCAAAACUAUUGACACCAUUCUUUGAUUGUGGCUGUUCAUCAAACAAAGAAAUCACAUAAGCGCUAAUGCCUGGUAGGAUGUAAAAAGGGUAAAUUGCAACAGGGGUCUUCCAGACCCUAGAUUGUUAGGAGGUUUUGUUUGGUUGCUAACCUUUCAAUUGUACAAUUGGGUUCUUCACCUUUGUAUUUUGGUGCCGUUUGGUUAGCAGCAGUAAAUGUGUAUAUGAUUAGAGAUCUCUGUUUGCUGGACAUGCAAUAAUUACAACUACACCUAUUCUGCUUGGCUGAAUGCAACUGAGAGUGCUGCAAGGAUAGGUUUUCUAUUAGGUUGCAUGCAGCUGGAAGAUGCAUUAACAUUUCCUGAUUAUUAAAUGUAGGUUCGUGAGACUACACCUGGUGCAUAGCUAUUAGCCUCAACAGAUCCUGAUUAUUAAAUGUAGGGUGGUAAGACUACACCGAGUGCAUAGCAAGUAGUCGCUUUUAUUUGAGAAGUAGGCGGACGAGUGAGACUACGCCUACUGUCGAAUACUCCCCAAUUGGUGCGUUCUGGCUUGCACACAAUUUGGGUGUAGGCCAAGAUGCAGCAGUUGGCCCUUUAUCUAUAGAUCUGAUUUGCGGCACCUGGAAGCAACUACAAUGUGCCAAACCAAAUUUUUGGGCUUGUAUGCAGUUAAACCAGCAAUGUAGGUGGAGAUGUUAGCUACCUAUAGCCUCUUUAUUGCAAUCUUCCCUUUUUCGUUAAGUUCCCUCGUAAAAAUUGAUGGAAAUGCCUAUGCAAUUGCCAUAUGGAAGUCUAGAAAUCGUCUAUAUGGCAAUUUAGGUGGCAAAUGUCCAAUUUCAUGAAGGAAGUCAACUGAAGGGUUGCUUUAGAAUACAAUAUUAGGAAUGAAACUGUAACAACUGGAAGGAUGUAGGCCAAACAGAAACUACGCUAAAAUAUUGAGGACCCUUCGGUGCAAUUUAUCCGAUCAAAAGAAUUAAGAAAAAGAUUUAUAAAGAAGAUUUGCCAUCUUAUAACAAACCUGAAGCUCAUCUUGUCCCCAAGCAUAUUUCUCAUAAGAAUUCCAGGCAUGAAGCAUUGCUUCUUUGACUUUCUCUCUCCUUUCAUUGUUAAUGGAAUCAAUUUUGACGAUACUUUUGUCGAUCAUUUUAUCACUAGUGAAGUGUUCGUCUGGUUUCACCGAACGAUCCUCUGCUUUCCUCAACUACAGCAAAACAACAAAGUUUCAGAACAGGAAGCUAACCCAUCAUUAUGCCAAAAAAUAAAUAAAUUUACCAAAAAAAAAAAAUCAUGUCUAGCCAACGGAAAAACUGCACAGGGGGACCGCCUCAGCUAUACCCUUCAAUUAUUAUUAUUUUGAUUGAGACCCUCAACUUUUUACUAUUUUGUAUUUGAGUUAAUUUCCAGAAUUUAACAGGGAAUUAAUGGCUCUGUUCGCUAGUACCCGUUAACAGUUAGCGAAAUUCACAGCUCCAUCAAUUGAAAAAAGUAUCUUCAAUUUAACAAAAUCACAGAUAAAUUUGACAAAAUCACUGAUUUAAUUGAUGAAAAUCGAUCAAAAUAAAAAUAGUUAAAAGGGGCCAAUUUCAAAUUGUCUUAUGGUUGAAGAGGUCUCCACACACAUUUUUAUCUUUAAUAAUCACCAGUGUAAUACAAUAUAAAGCAAGGAAAACAACAAAAAAAUUGAUUGGGAAAUUGAGGAUACCUGAUCUUGUAGUCGAUUCAACUCUUCCUUCAAUUUUGAGAUCUCAGCCUACAAUCACAUUAAUAAAAUUCUUAGUUUCUUUAAGCAUAAUUUCCCCUUCAAAUUUAGUAGUUUACCCAAAAAGAAUAAUUAAAAAACAGUGGACAUUGAAAAGUAAAUGGAAAUUACAUAACCACGCGCGCUUCACAAGAAUCACAACAAGGUCACAAAAAUCUACCAAUAAAAGCGCGAUCUUUUCGAUUUCCAUUAACAAUUCACACUGUAAUCAAACGGAUCCACCACUCCUAGAAACCCUAAUCACACCAAGAACUAAGUAGAUCGGAGACGAAUCCACAAGCAGUGGCGAGCAAAGAUCCAAUCAGAUCGGGCCUCACCUCGUGCUCCCGAACUAGGGUUUGCCGAUCCCAGAAGGCGAAGUAGGCGAGGACGAAGACGACGAAGAGGAUCCCCAAGCGCCGCGGCCGCUUCAGGUAGUACGCCGGGUGGAGGACCCGCCACGGCCCCCACGACGACGACGACGACGACGACGACGACGACCUGCUCCGCAUCAUCUCCUCCUCCCUCCUCCUAUGGCGCCGUAGAAACCCUAACCCUAGAAUCGUCUCCUCCGCCGCGCGAGAGGAAAAGGUUUUCGAGGGAGUCGUCGCCUUCGUCGUCGUCGUCGUCGUCGGAGUCCCCACGGGUUUAAAAAGGAGGAUGUUCGUAUGCGAGCGUCCGCAUAGAAUAUUUCUCUGCGGACUCUCUGGGUUAUAAGGAGUAGAAAAGUCAACAUUAAUUAUACCCAAAAUUUUAAUUCAAAAUUUUAUUCGAAUCGGAAUACAAACUAUUCAAAUUUGAUUGAUAUGGACAAAUAUAAUUUUAAUUAUGAGUAUAAAAAAUAAUAAUCCGAGAGAUUUAAAUUCGGUUUGGAUUUAUAUUUUAAUACUUUAGAUUUAAUUAUGAUAUAAUUUUGAAAUUCGGCAAAGAGAAAUGAUUACAUUCGGAUUUAGAUUUUUGGGCUCGGUUUCGAGUUUCAUUUUUUUUUGUUUUCUCGAGGUUAGUUUUUGUUAUUGAUUUUUAAAACUCAAUGGCUUCGGGUGCAAGUUCAGUUUCAGAUAUAACAGUCGAAUUCGGAUGCGAAUUUUUAAAAACUAAUCCGAAUCUGACCGGUUGACAUCCUAACAAAUGAGUGUGGUGUCGGAGAAGCUCCGUGGACCCGAGUUAAGCAAUAAGCUUAUGAUUUUAAAAUAAAAUUAGAAUAAACUUUAAAUAUCAUCCCUGUAGUUUCGCACUUUCACUUUAGUAUUCUGUGGUUUAAAGUGUAUCAAGCUAGUAUCCUGUAGUUUCACUUUUAUCUUUUCGUCAGCUUUUUCGUUAAUAUUUCGUUAAAUUAUAUACAAAAAAAACUUCAGAUACUCCAUCUAGGUUUAUCGAAUAUUCACUUUAGUACCCUUUAAUUUUAACUUUGUCACUGAUUUAACGAAAAAAAUUAGAGAAUCGAUAAUAGAAAAAUAAAAAUAAAACUAUAGGGCACUAAAUUGAUAUACUUUAAAUCAUAGGAUACGAAAGUGUGAAAGUGUGAAACCACAUGAGUUAUAUCUGAAGUUUUUUUCUAAAAAUUAUUAAAAAUUACUAGUUAAACGUGACGGAGUAUAUAUUUAACUUGUUUUGACACAAAAAAUAACAAAAUACAUAAAACUAAUAAAAAGUUAUGAAAAAAAGGCCAAUUUGCAUAAAAAAUCCACUUAUUUUGGGCUUUUGCAAAACCGGACCACCUUUUUCAUUUUGCAGAUUCGGUCCGAAUUUUCAGCAAACUGACCAAAAUACCAUUGUUACUUUUUCUCUCUCCUCUUUCUCUCUCCUCUUCGUUUCUCUGGUUCUUUCUUUUUUUCUCUCGCCGAAAAAAGUAGCGAAGGCAAAGGCGAAAGCGGAAACGGUCCGCCUCACCUCUUACCCUCAUGCUCUCGCCCUCACCCUUGCCCUCGCCCACGCAUCCCCUACCUUCCUCGCCUCCGAUCCCGCCGACGCCGCGCCGCAACUUUUUUUUUUUUUUGCUUUUUCUUUUCUUUUCUUCUCCGACUCUCCUCCACCGUCUCCGACGACGACGUCUCUCUCGCCCUUCCCCGCACUUCUCGUCCCUCCCUUUCCCUCCUCUCCGCCUUCGACGGCGAUGCAACUUCGCUGGCGCCGACGUCGACACCUUGAAGGUCACUGCGGCGCUGCUGCCUCGGAGCCGGGGGUCCUUAGCGGCGUCGUUGCCUGCGCCGUGGCCAUUGACAGAGAUAGGCGACAAAAAAAAUAUAAAAGAAGCAACAAAAAAAAAUAAAGAUACAAAAUUAUAGAAAAAUAAGGAUGAAGAUAAAAUUGCAUCGUUAACUGUAAAAAAAAUCACUAAGUUGGACUACUUAAGAUGUAAACUGCAGCUUUAAGAUAAAAAUUACACUCUUUAAAUGAAAAUUACACUCUUUGGAAGAUAUUUAUAUUGUUUCUCCUCUUAUUGCACUCUUUCAGAUCUAAACUGUAUCCAUUAAGAUAAAAAUUACACUCUUUAAACGAAAGUUGCACUGUUUCUUUUCUUGUUGCACCAUUUCUUCUCUUGUUACACUAUUUUUUAUCUUAAACUGCACUCCUUUAAAAGAUAUUUAUACUGUUUUUGCUCUUGUUGCACUGUUUCUCCUCUUAUUGCAUUAUUUAUCCUCUUGUUACACUGUUUUUAUCUUAAACUGCAUCCUUUAAGAGGAAAAACCGUAUAACAAGAGGAGAAAUAGUGCAACAAAAGAAAACACAGUGCAACAAGAGGAGAAACAAUAUAAAUAUCUCUUAAAUGGGUGCAGUUUAAGAAACAGUGUAAGAAGAGGAGAAAUAGUGUAACAAGAGAAGAAACAGUGCAACUUUCGUUUAAAGAGUGUAACUUUCAUCUUAAUGGAUGCAGUUUACAUCUGAAAGAGUGCAAUAAGAAGAAAAACAGUGUAAAUAUCUCCCAAAGAGUAUAAUUUUCAUUUUAAAGCUGCAGUUUACAUCUUAAGCAGUGCAACUUGUAAUUUUUUUUGCAGUUAACGAUGCAAUUUCAUAUUCAUCCUUUUUUUAUAUAAUUUUUUAUCUUUUUUUUUCUCUUUCUUCUAUAAUUUUUUUUUGUCACCCUCUUUGUCAACAGCCACGGCGCCGGUGACGAUGCCACUACGGACUCUCCCGCUCCGAGGCUGCAGAGCGGCAGUGACCUCCACGGUGUCGGUGUCGGCGCCGGCGAAGAUGCAUCGUCGUCGGAGGCGGCAGAGAAGGAAGGAGAGGGAGAGACGAGAAGGGCGGAGAAGGGCGAGAGAGAUGUCGUCGUCGGAGAUGGUCGAGGAGAGUCGGAGAAAGAAAAGAAAAGAAAAAAGCAAAAAAAAAAAAGUCACGGCGCGGCGCGGCCUUGACAGGGGCGGAGGCGAGGAAAGUGGGGGUGUGUGGACGAGGGCAAGGGCGAGGGCGAGGGCGAGAGCAUAAGGGUGAGAGGCGAGGCGAACCGUUUCCGCCUCCGCCUCUGCCUUCUCUACUUUUUUCGGCGAGAAAAAAAAAAGAACGAGAAAAACGAAGAGGAGAGAGAAAGAGAAAGAGAAAAAGUAAUAAGGGUAUUUUUGUCAGUUUGCUGAAAAAGCGGACCGAAUCUGCAAAAAUAAAAAAGGUGGUCCGAUUUUGCAAAAGCCCAAAAUAAGUGGAUUUUUUAUGCAAAUUGGCUAUGAAAAAAACUUCAGAAAAGCAUCUAAUGAGUCUAUUAUGGUGAUUCAUUUUAUUUAAUUUUUUACUAUUUAACUAGUGUCUCUUAAUAAAGUUAUUAAUUUUUUUCUAAAAUAAUAUAUUUAUUAAUAAUUGUAAUGAAGAGAUUAACGAGAAAAUGAACUAGUUUAGUAAAAUCUAUGAAAAAUAGUACAAGAUAAAAAAAAAAAGAACAAAUUUAAAACACAAUAUAAAGAUUGAUAAAAUAUAAUAAAACAAUAGUUUCUUUGAGAAAAAAAAUUUAUUUCACCUAGUAAAUAAAAUAACACUAAAGUACAGAGCCAUUUUCAUUUGCUAAAUAAAUUAGUAACUACAUGGUCACUUUCAAGGUGUUUUAUUCUCAAAAUUAAAAAUUUAUAAAAUUUAAUAUCUCUACCAUUCUAGUUUUAUUUGCUAGAUAUAAAUUAAAAAUUUUUUAUUAAAAUAAGUUAAUGUUGAGGGAUAAAAUCUAUAUUUGGAAAAUAAAAAAAAUAAUUUUUCAUGAAAUCUAAAAAAAAAAUCUCAAAAAAGCUAGUUUUUUUUUGGCCAAUUUGCAUAAAAAAUCCACUUAUUUUGGGCUUUUGCAAAAUCGGGCCACCUUUUUCGUUUUUGCAAAUUCGGUCCACUUUUUCAGCAAACUGACCAAAAUACCCUUAUUACUUUUUCUCUUUCCUCUUUCUCUCUUCUCUUCGUUCUCUCGUUCUUUUUUUUUUUCGCCAAAAAAAAAAGCGACGGCCGGAGCACCGCCAGGCGGGCUUUUCUUCUUCUUCUUCCUGCAGGAGCAAUUUUUUUUCUCUUUUUCUUUUUCUUCUUCUUCUUCCUCCUGCUGGAGCUUUUUUUUUUUUUUNUCUUAUUCAGAAAAAUUUCUGCGGAAGUUCCUGCCUUUGAAUUAAAGGAAAUUCAUCGAUAAAUAAUGCUAUGCCCACUUCCAUAGGCAAAUUAGAGUAUAAUUUAGAUUAAAAUAAUUGAUUACGAAUAUUGUGUGGAAUAAAUUAUUAUGUGAUUUAUGUGAAUAUUCUGAUGAUGUAGCUAUUACCGUCUAGUUUUACUACCAUUUACUCUCUAAAAUAGAUAUAUCAUUAUUUAUCCUUCUGAUUUCAAAUUCCAGCAUGCAUAAUCUCAUUCAGAAAAAUUUUUGCGGAAGUUCCUGCCUUUGAAUUAAAGGAAAUUCAUCGAUAAAUAAUGCUAUACCCACUUCCAUAGGCAAAUUAGAGUAUAAUUUAGAUUAACAUAAUUGAUUACGAAUAUUGUGUGAAAUAAAUUGUUAUGUGAUUUAUGUGAAUAUUGUGAUGAUGUAGCUAUUACCGUCCAGUUUUACUACCAUUUACUCUCUAAAAUAGACAUGUCAUUAUUUAUCCUUCUGAUUUCAAAUUCGAGCAUGCAUAAUCUUAUUCAGAAAAAUUUCUGCGGAAGUUCCUGCCUUUGAAUUAAAAAAAAAUUCAUCGAUAAAUAAUGCUAUGCCCACUUCCAUAGGCAAAUUAGAGUAUAAUUUAGAUUAAAAUAAUUGAUUACGAAUAUUGUGUAGAAUAAAUUGUUAUGUGAUUUAUGUGAAUAUUGUGAUGAUGUAGCUGUUACCGUUCAGUUUUACUACCAUUUACUCUCUAAAAACUACCAUUUACUCUCUAAAAUAGACAUAUCAUUAUUUAUCCUUCUGAUUUCAAAUUCGAGCAUGCAUAAUCUUAUUCAGAAAAAUUUCUGCGGAAGUUCCUGCCUUUGAAUUAAAGGAAAUUCAUCGAUAAAUAAUGCUAUGCCCACUUCCAUAGGCAAAUUAGAGUGUAAUUUAGAUUAAAAUAAUUGAUUACGAAUAUUGUGUGGAAUAAAUUGUUAUGUGAUUUAUGUGAAUAUUGUGAUAAUGUCGCUGUUACCGUCCAAUUACGUACCAUUAUUUAUCUUUCUGAUUUCAAAUUCGAGCAUGCAUAAUCUUAUUCAGAAAAUAUUUCUGCGGAAGUUCCUGUCUUUGAAUUAAAGGAAAUUCGUCGACAAGUCUAAGAAUUUAGAUUUAAAGGCCAUGUGCAUAUUGGAUCUAUUGAUAGGCAAAUUUUUAGAUGGAAUUGGGGUUAUUGAUCAUUAUGUGAUGAAGACAACAAAUAGUUUCAGGUGAUCCCUUGGAUUUUAGUUAUUUAAUAUUUUAUUAAUUCAUCAUGCUUGUUUUGUUUAUUUGCUCCUCCUCUCUACUACAUGUCAGCAUCUUUUUAGCUGAGUAACCAGCUCAGAAGGCACAUUACUACAUCAACAUGCAUCUCUCUCUCUCUCUCUCUCUCUCUCUCUAAAGAGAUUGAGGAUAAAAGGAAAAAAAAAAAUAAUAGAACAAAGAGAAGAAGAAAAGCAAAAUUCCAAAAAGAUAUUGCAUGUUUAGGAGGUCAGAGGUUUGAACUUUCGAGUAUAUAUUUCAAAAUCUGAGAGUUUGAGCCCUUGAUAUUAUAUACUAUAGAUUUUUUACGGAUCUUCAGAGAGACAACUCAAAAGAAUAAAAUAAAAUAAUUUUUUUUUUUUUUUAACAAGCUCUCUCUCUCUGUAAAGAGAUUGUGGAUAAAAGGAAAAAAAAAAAUAAUAGAACAAAGAGAAGAAGAAAAGCAAAAUUCCAAGGAGAUGAUGCAUGUUUAGGAGGUCAGAGGUUUGAACUUUCGAGUAUAUAUUUCAAAAUUUGAGGGUUUGAGCCCUUGAUAUUAUAUACUAUAUAUUUUUUACGGAUCUUCAGAGAGACAACUCAAAAGAAUAAAAUAAAAUAAAAUUCUUUUUUUGAACAAGCUCUCUCUCUCUCUCUUUGAGAUUGAGGAUAAAAGGAAGUAAAAUAAUAAUAGAACAAAGAGAAGAAGAAAAGCAAAAUUCCAAGGAGAUGUUGCAUGUUUAGGAGGUCAGAAGUUUGAACUUUCGAGUAUAUAUUUCAAAAUCUGAGGGUUUGAGCCCUUGAUAUUAUAUACUAUAUAUUUUUUACGGAUCUUCAGAGAGACAACUCAAAAGAAUAAAAUAAAAUAAAAUUCUUUCUUUGAACAAGCUCUCUCUCUCUCUUUGAGAUUGAGGAUAAAAGGAAGUAAAAAAAUAAUAGAACAAAGAGAAGAAGAGAAGCAAAAUUGCAAGGAGAUGUUAUAUGUUUAGGAGGUCAGAGGUUUGAACUUUUGAGUAUAUGUUUCAAAGUCUGAGAUGGUUUAUACCCCUGAUAUUAUAUACUAUAGAUUCUUUGCGAGUCUUCAGCAUUAGAAAUAGAGAGACAACUCAAAAGAAUAAAAUAAGAUUCUUUCUUUGAACAAGCUCUUUGUCUAGAUUUUACUCUCAUCUAUCUUAGCUCUCUUUCUCUUACUGCUUUGUGAUAAAUAGAAAAGGACAAAAAAGGAAAAGUAAAGAGCAAAAUUACACUUAUUUCUCACUUAUCUCCUUCCUGAUAGCAAAAGAUCCAAGAGAGAAAAGAAAAGGAGAUGACAUAUAAUAAUGUAAAGGAAAAAAUGUAUAAAAUUUAUCUAAACUAUAGUUUGAUUUUACUAUUCAACCUUUCAAUUUAUUUGAUUUAAGUAAUUAGAUAGCUUUUCAAAUAUAAAAUUUAAGUUAAUUACUUAGUUUAAUGAAUUUGUAAUUUUAUAAAUUGUAUAAAAUGUACUAACUAAAUCCUUAAAAGAUAAAUGACGAAUUUAAAAUUUGAACUUAAAGAGUCACUAAUUGGCUCAAAGUUAAGUUCUAUAUGUUUUCACCUAAUUUAAAAUUUUAAAAUAAUUUAGAAUAAACCAACAUUCAUAUUGGAUUAACUCAAAAUCUAUUUGGAGUACUUAUGUUAUUUCAAUAAUUUUGAAAUAACCCAAAUAAAAAAGUUUGAAAAUUAAUUAUUUGUCUUUAUAAGAUUGUGUUAGAACAAAUACCGCACAGAAAUCUGAUUGUGAUUAAAGAUCUAACUAAUUUUUAUUAAGAAAAUAAAUAAAUCAACUUACAGAUGAUCGCUAAAUCCAAAUAAAUACUUAAUUGAUCCGGAAGCGUGCGAGGUAUUGCCCUAAGGCGUAUUCCCGUCCUUACGUGUGGGAUUAAUCGGAAAUAACACCCCAAGGUACGAUCCAAAUUCUUCCUCCUGCGAGCACGAUCGUGAAGGAGGUUGACGAAAACUCUUUCAACACCCGAUGACAAAAAGGAUUAAGAAAUUGAAUAGAAUAGAAAUUAAAAAUAUUUCUUUCUCUUUUUUCUUCUCUCUCUCCAAUGUCCAUAUUACAUGAACAAUGCAAGAGGCAGUAUAAAAAGUGUGUGAAACAGAAUGUUGGAGACCCCCAACAUUCUACUCCAUUAAUUAAUUUCAUUUAAUUCAAGCUUUAAUGUGAAAUAAAGGAGGAAUAAAUUAAAUUUAAUCCAUCCAAUUAAUUAACAUAGUAAAAGACAAUAAAUGAGAAUAAUUAUGAAAUUAAAUAAUAUUUAGAGAUUUUGAAUUUUUUACCAACAGAUUGAAAUUAAAAGUAUUUGUCCUCUAACUCCACAUCUACAUCAAAGUAACACAAUUUCCACACUACUAGAAACUUCUCCAAAUCUCCUCAUCACCACCCUCUUCAUUAUUUCACACAUGCGCCCCCCCNUCUCUCUCUCUCUCUCUCUCUCCCAUUCUACUUUGCUAUCAUAUUAUCACAAUCAACAUUUUGUCUUGUUUGACCCUCUUGAGAGUGUAAGCAUCUUCAUAUUGAAACCCUAAUUAUUUUUAUCCAUCUAUCCUUAUCUCUUAUUUUAGGUCAAAAGACAAAAUUAUGAUCAGUAUUUUGCUGGUUUUGAGGGUGUCUGGCCUAGAUUCUAGGAAGAAAUUUUAGAGCCAAAAGUAAUUUUUCCUUCAAUAGAGUAUUUUUCAAUCAUAUUUUUAAAAUCUAAAUAUGAUUCUUAGAAUCAAUUUUUUGAUUUUAGAGGCCUAAAAUCGGAAACAGAUAACACCUGCUUCUUGAAAUCUAAUUCUGAUUUUGAACUUUUAUUUAAAUUUUGAUUUCAAAUAAAUUUUAAAUUUAUUAUUUCAAAUUAUAAAUUAUAAAUUUUUAAUUUCAAAAAUUUUAAUUUAGAUAUUACAUUUUAAAUUUUAAAUCUCAAAAUGCUAAACUAAGUUAAACGUUCUAUAGCUUUCAACAAAAAUUAAUUCUCCAAAUCAAGAUCAAUUUUUGAGAAAUUACUUUUUCAAAAGCUAGACCAAGCACUCCAUUAAUUUUCAAUUGGCUUUGUUUCUAUUUUUACUUCUAAUUAACAGCAGUCAUCUUCAAUGAAGUGUUUAAUAAUUUUUAGGAAAAACUUCAAAUAUCACCUUUGUGGUUUCACACUUUCUCACUUUAAUACCCUGCGAUUUAAAGUGUAUCAAUUUAAUAUCUUGUGGUUUCAUUUUUAUCUUUUUAUUAUCUAUUUCACUAAUUUUUUUCGUUAAAUCAGUGACAAAAUUAAAACUAAAGGGUACUAAAGUGAAUAUUCGAUAAACCUAGAUGGGGUACCUGAAGUUUUUUGUAUAUGAUUUAACGAGAUAUUAACGGAGAAACUAACGAAAAGAUAAAAAUGAAACGACAUGGCACUAACUUGAUAUACUUUAAACUACAUGGUACUAAAGUGAGAACGCGCGAAAUCACAGGGGUGGUAUUUGAAGUUUAUCAUUUUUAAAGAGAAAAAGUGAUGCUUCUACUGCAAUAGAAAUCGAAGAGUAGAUUUUACGACCCAAAAGCUGAAGCUUUAAUUUGGUAUUUCUACUUUUGCUAUAAAAAAACAUUAAUUGAAAGGACACCAAUAAUACUAUUUGAGAAAUACUGUUAAAAAAUAGUAUUAUUAGAAGAAGUACUAUAAUCGAAACUUAUCCGACAUUUAGGAGACACUUCUGGUAGGAUAAAAAUUAUAAGGGCAUCAUCCCCAAACUACUAGUUUGGGGACUAUGCCGAUGGGCGCUGCGUGACCAGCGCGCGCCCACCACCGCCUCCCUUUCUUUCCAUUCUCUCACUAUCUCUAAAAUUUCAGGCGCACGAAAUUUUUUCUUUCUUUUUUUCUUAUUUUCGCCCGUGCAAUGGGCGCGCUGGGGCCACGCGGCGUCCAUCGGCAUCGUCCCCAAACUCGUAGUUUGGGGAUGAUGCCCAUACAAUUUUUGUCUCUUCUACAGAAUGAUAUGCCUUGCACAUUUUUUUUUUGACAAAACUACCCCUCUCCCAAAUUCAAAUUUUGCCAAAAGGGUCCUCAUCCUUGGACCCUCACCAUUUCUCCAUAUAGCAAUGUAUAUCUCUCAUGAUGAAUAGUAAUAACUACAUAUAAUGACAACUGAGUAUUACUGAUUUUCUAAAAUGCUAUUUCUAUGUUACAUAAUAUAGAAAACUUUAAUUGCAAGAAUUCAUAAGUUUUUUAACAUAUCAACUAUUUAUGGAGGACACAUCCACAUUCAUUCCCACUCCCAAAAUAUUAUGAAAGACACCAUCUCAUUAUUAAAAAAAAUUUUGAGGUUUUUGGAUUGGAUGCAUGAAUCAACCAAAGUUUUUUAUACAAUAUGCUUGUCACACUUCAACAAUCUAUCAGAUCAUCAUUUUUUUGGGACUCUUUCAUAGGUUUAGAUCUGCUACAAUUUCGUACACAAAAUUUUCAUGCACUCCGCUGAUCUAAACACGGUGAAUAAUUCAUCGUAUUAAAUUUAAAUUCUGAACAUACUUACGUGAUGCUUGCGUAACAUUUGUGUUGCCGGAAUAGAGCCAAUCUAACAAAAUAAAUUUUGUAAAAUUAUUUGUGAAAUUUUUUUAAGGGAACUAAAAGCAAAAAAAAAAAAAAAAAACCCUAAGCGACUGUUUGGUUCGGGAUUAGAGGGGAUGCCCCCUUAUCCCCAAACACCUUUUUGUUGGGGGUGGAGUUUGUUAAUUCCACCCCAAAAAGGUUAUCCUCGAGUCCCAUGGAACUAAUCCCACCCCAAUUUAAUUUUUAAAUUUAAAUUUAAAAUUUAAAAUUUAAUUUUUAAAUUUAUAUUUAUAUUUUAAAAUUUAAAAAUUUAAAAAUUUGUAAGCUUAAAAUUGAUAUUUAUAAUUUUAAAUUAUUAUUUUUAAUUUUAUAAAUUUAAAAUUUGAUAUUUGAUAUUUUUAAAUUUAAGUUUAAUCUUAAAUUUAAAAUUUAGAACUUCAAAUUUUUGAAUUUGAAAUUUAAAAAUUUAAAUUUUAUUUUGAAUUUUUCAAUGUUUAAAAUUAUAUAUUUAAAUUUAAAAUUUUAAUUAUAAAAUUUAAAAUUUUAAAUUCAAAUAUAAAUGGCAAUAUCAUUAUUUUCUAUUUAUAACCACCCACUAUUCUUCUUAUUCUAUCUUUAUCUAUCCAAACACUAUUUUUCUUAUUCUCGAAAACAACUCAUUUUUUCACCGUCCAAAUGUAAAUUUAAUCUAUUUUAAGCUUAAUUCUGAACUUAUACUUUUUCCUAAAGUAAUUAGUUCUUACUUAACGCCGAACCAAACGGAGCCUUAAAAUAGUAAUAACAACAACUCCCACACCCACCGACCUUCCCUAGAGCAAGUGGCAAAGGGCUUGGUGGUUCGUACCUGAGAUUCCAAGUUUGAAUCCUAGUUGAGUCAUAUGUCCAGCUAAAUUUAUUUCUAAAUAAAAUAAACGAAGCGGGUAGCGUGUUACCUAUCUUUCNCCUAAGUUCGAAUCCUAGUUGAGUCAUAUUUCUAGCUAAAUUUAUUUCUAAAUAAAAUAAAUGAAGCGGGUAGCGUGCUACCUAUCUUAAAAAAAAAUAAAAAUAAAAAAAAAACUCCCACACUCAUACACUCAUUUAUUAUAGAUUUUAAGGUUAAGAAAAAACACACACACACACACACACACUCCCUCUUCACCCCUCUCUCUCUCUCUCUCUCUCUCUCUCUCUUUCAUGGCCUUCGCUCCACACCACUCCUACCCCAAAACCUCCUCCUCUUCUUCUUCUUCUACUUCGCCAUCCCAAACCCUAACCCUAACCCUAACCCACCUCCCCGACGACCCCCUCCUCUCCAUCCUCCGCCUCCUCCCGGCCCCCUCCCUCCUCGCCCUCUCCGCCACCUGCCGCCGCCUCCGCCGCCUCGCCGCCGCCGACGCCCUCUGGGAGCACCUCUUCCGCCGCGACUGGGGCGACGCCGCCGCCGACGCCCUCCUCCCCUCCUCCUCCUCCUCCUCCUCCUCCUCCUCCGGCGACGGCGGCGGGAAGCGCCGCGGCGUCGCGUGGCGGCGCCUCUACCAGCAGGUCUCCCAGCUCGGCUCCCUCUCGUGCCGCCGCCUCUCGCUCAGCGGCGGCGGCGGCGCCUCUCCGCGGCCGAGGGCCUCGCUCUCCCUCAACUUCGUCGCCGGGUGGCUCGUCCUCUUCGGCGGCGGCUGCGAAGGAGGUGAGGAGAGUAACUCAUCGGGGUUCUCUCAAUUCUCUCAUUCCAGUUGUUCAAUUUGCCUAUUUUCAUGUAUUGGAUCUGCUCUGCUCCUCUUAGAUAGAGAGCUGCUUCUGAUCUUAGGGUAAGGGUUUCAAGUUCUAUUGAUCAUUCCUAGUUUAAGAUGAACUAUUAGGAAGGAGUUUUAUAUAUGAAGUGGUUAAAAACCACUCCUUUGUUUCACUUAGUAUCAGAGCAUCAGAUCACGAGGCUUAGUUUUAAGUCCUUUUAGGCUUGAUGUUUUGUGCUUGCCAAAAAAGUUACAAGUCCAGAUGCGAGGAGAGUGCUGAAUAUAAAAAUAUAAAAAUAUAAAAAUACGUUUCUCGAUUAAGCUUUUAGAGAAAAUUGGUUGUUCGACAUAGAGUGUAAAGUGUAAAUUGUACACUACUCAUGGAGAUUGAGUGUGGUAGCAUGAUCGAGAUUAGCCUAAUACUUAUUAAAAUACUCAGUUAUUUUUUCUUCUGUUUGUUCUUAUUAUUCAGAAAGGGUCUGAGGGGAAAAGUAAGUGUUAGGGAUUCGUCAUCGAAGGCGAGUGCGAAGGAGUUCAGUAUUAGGGUUUAAUUGGUGCAUCUCCUAUGUAGAAAGCAAUUCGAACCUUAGGGUUUCAAGUUUUAUUUAUCAUUUGGUAUUCCUUAACAAGAGUGUAUUUCAGUCUAGUUGUUAUCUGAAUGGAUGUUCUUGUCUGCCUAAUUCUUAGCUUUCUUGUAGUGUAGCUUCUAUGUCCUCUUUUCUGCUGAAUAUGAUACCUUCCUUGGUGGGUGUUGAAUAUGAAUAUUAAAAAUGUUGUUCUCUACCAACUUAAACUUUUGGUGAAAUAUGGUUGUUUGACAUAAUUUAAUAUGAUAUCAAAACAGGAGGUCCUGAGUUACAAGUCUCCGUCAGGCUUCUAGCAUUGUUAAUUUCCUCCCAUUUAAUUUUAAGUUUACGUCUUUAGUCUAUCAAAAUGGCUCGAGCCCAGACGUGAGAGGGAAUGUUGAAUAUAAAUAUUAAAAAUACUGUUCUCUGCUAGCUUAAGCUUUUGGAGAAAUCUAAAAGCCAUCUAGAAGGCAACUGGACAAUUGAAGAAUCACCAGAAGUAGUCAUUUAAAUAGUGACCAAAUGAAUCUUCACAAUUACGAUGAUAAAAUGUUAUUCGGUUUCUUCAUUUUUACUGGUUCUUUUUGGUAGUUCUUGUAGGAUUAGCCCAAUAUAUCAAUUUUAAUGUGUGUUAAGACGCGAUAUAGCAUAAGAGAGAUAAAGUUGGGUUCGCAUCUCAGAUGGUUUACUUUUUGAAUAGCAUAUGCUUCUCAACAUUGCCCUAUUUUUUGGUCACAACAUUUAUAAGACAUGAUAUUCAUAACCCUGGAAAGCCGCCCUCGAAAUUUAUCAGAUUGAUAUAUGCAUAUAUGUUCUAUGAUAUCUGAGCUAUGUUUCAAUUAUAGAACCGACUAUUUACGUGCAUUCGAAGCCAUUUGGCGAUAUAUUGCUUGCAUAUUUAUUCUCCAUACGAAUAAAUUUCUGUUGAUUUCACGUGUAAAUCUUAAGAAACUGCCUAAGCAAUGCCUGAGCAGCCACCUACGCAGGGUUGGCAGUGCUAAGGUGAUUGCCUAGUGUUCUGCAUGCAAAAUUUAUGCCAUGCAUGGUGUCUACAUGAUAUUGUCAAUUGUAUAAUGAUCUAAUUUUGUUUUCGUAACUUAUUGGGUCACAAAACUAGUUAGCAAAGAAUAGUGUUCCACUGUGAGUUCAAAUUGAGUCAUUGUCUACCCAUUUCCAUUACUUUUAGAUGAACUCGCUAAUUCUCUUUAAACUGAUCAUUUUAGUCGUUGUACUCAUAUCAUGUUUGUGCACCUCUCCCUGUUGUCUCUACAGCAUCAUAUGAUCUAUUUGUACAAAGUUGUUGAUUUGCUUACUAGGAAGAGAAACCUAACAUUCUGAAGUAGGACCAAGACUCAGCAUACUAACAGCAAUUCUGAGAGAGAGAACUAGUUAGUCAGUAAACUUAAGAAGUAAAUGGACUUGUGGAUUUUGACAGCAGAAAGAUUUAAAAUUUGAGAACUUAUGUUACCUUUUAUGGAAUAAUUUAGCUUUCUUUUUCAUACGAGGUGGAAAUUCUCCAAUCUUACUAGCAUAUCUUUCAUUUACUCUGCCUCUUGUAAUAUACCACCUGUGUUCCUCUUUAGGACGGCAUCUCGAUGACACAUGGGUGGCAUACAUCGGCAACGGAUUCGAUCGAGUACUUAGUUGGCAAAAACUUAAUUCCGGCAUUCCAACUGGUCGUUUCGGACACACUUGUGCUCUAGUGGGGAACUGUCUUGUCCUCUUUGGUGGCAUCAAUGAUAGUGGAUUGAGACUAAAUGACACGUGGAUUGGGGAAAUCGACCUCAGACGUCCUCUCGAGAUCAAUAUAUCAUGGCGGCUGCUUGACGUGGGCUCUGUCCUGCCUCCACCCCGCGGGGCCCAUGCAGCGUGCAGCAUUGGCGACCGCACCAUGGCGAUCCACGGUGGGAUUGCAUUAGACGGUCGUCGACUCAGCGAUACAUGGCUUCUCGACUUGUCGGAAGGAUUAACAUCUGGGAACUGGCACCAGCUACUGAAUCCUUGCCCUUCACCUCCGCCACGCUCUGGCCACACGCUGACGUCGAUCGACGAAACCCUAAUGGUCCUCUUUGGCGGUCGAGGCUCAGGAUACGAGGUGCUCAACGACCUAUGGCUAUUUGACGCCAGCAAAGGCUAUCCGGAGUGGAAGGAAAUCUAGUAUGAAAUUAUUAUUGGUUCUUUUUCAUAUAUAACUCCAACAAAUAUCCAAAAUUAUGCAAAUACCCGUAAAGUUGGUAGGAGGCUAUUUGUGCAGAACAAUAUCUGCAGAUAUAACUCUGUGGAGCCAUGAACGAAAAAAAAGCAUACAACUUUUAGAGAAACACACCCUCAAAUACCGACUUUGCAGGGUUAUUUGCUCAAUUCCACAUAUUGGCAAGGGUCUAUGUGCAAAAAAAAAAACGAAAACCCGUAUACUGUUAGCAAUUUAUUCAAUGUUAAAGGAAUUUUGAAGAUUCUUUCUUCAUUUUCUUUAUGAAAGUUUUAUUUUUUCCAAAAUGUGUCCUAAUUUUUUAUCUAAUUUUUCAGCAUGCUCGACGAGAUGCCACCCCUACCCCGAGUUGGCCACUCUGCGACUCUCAUUCUAGGAAGCAAAAUCCUCAUAUACGGCGGCGAGGAUUCGCAGAGGCACCGGAAAGACGACUUCUGGGUAUUAGAGGCGGCCAAUCUAUUGAAACUUCGACCGGAUUCGAUGAAAACACGAAAGAAGAUGUGGAAAAAGCUCUCGGUCGAAGGCCAAAGCCCUAACUGCCGGUCGUUCCACGGAGCGUGUGCCGACCGAUCCGGUCGCUACGUCUACGUGUUCGGGGGGAUGGUGGACGGCGUUGUUCAUCCGGCUGAAGCCUACGGAUUGAGAUUUGACGGGGAUUUGUAUCAGGUGGAGCUCAUGCUGCAGUUGUAGAAGUAGGAAUGAGAAAGUGUUUUUGUAUCAGAUAAAAAGGAGUUGUCAAAUAUGUUGAAUCAUGUUGUAUAGAGAAUAAAAGUACUCUCAUGGUGUACUUCUUUUUACUGAUGCAUAUCUAUUCAGAUAGUCAAUUAUUUUAGGGUAAAAAUGCACAGAACUUACCUAAACUGUGAAUCAUUUUUGUGGUGGCUAAUAAAUUUUUUAAAAUAAUUUACUGUUCAAUCAUUUAAUUUGUUUGGUUUGAACGUGUCAAUGAUAAUUUUGAAUGCGUCGUUUAUUGUAACAUGUUUAAUUAGUGCAAUUCAUGUAAUUCUUGCAAUUAUAAAUUCAUUGAAAGAGCUAAUUGGUUUGAAUUUUAAAGUUAAAGUAUUUUUUAUUAACUCAAAUCAAAUAUAUUAAAAAAUUAUAGUAAAAAUAAAAUUUUGAUAGAUGGGAUAAUCGAUUAAAAAUAGUCCAUAAUUUAGGUUGUGUUGUAGUUUUUAAUUGUUAGAAAAAGCUGAUUUCUAUUUAAAAUGAACUUUUAAUCUGUUUGAGGUAUGUUAAAAUAUUUGAAUUACUUCACAAGUGAAAGUAUAAGUAUUUACUUUAUGAGAAAAAUCAAAUUAUUUUGGUGAUGUAGGAUUAAAAUGUAGAGCAUAAGAAAGUACAGAGAUUAAAGUGCUUAAGUGAAAAGUAUGGGCACCAAAGUUGUAAUUUUUAAAGGACAUUGUGGGAACAUGUCACCUAUUAUUUUAUCUUAUUUUAAUGUGACUAAAUUGCAGGAAACACCACGAUAAAUUUCAUCAUUUUCGCACUUUGCCCCCCUCUUAGAAACUAAUAUAAGUUUCCUCGCACCACGAGGUUUUCGGGUUAAAUGUUAAGUUUUAGAGUUUCAACAUAAUGUUUCAUUAUAAAAGUCGUUUUUGCUUCUUCCAACCACUCAACUCAAACAAUGUUGCAUUGUCCAGAAAAGUUAGGUCAGAUGUAUCGAUUGAGCCGAUUUUACUUAAAAUUUUCGCACUUUAGCCCUCUUAAAUAUUGAAACUAAUAUAAGUUUCCUCGAAUGACGAGCUUUUUGGGUUAAAUGUUAAGUUUUAGAGUUUCAAUAUAAUGUUUCGUUAUAAAAAUCGUUUUUGCAUCUUCCAACCACGAUCAACUCAAACAAUGCUGUAUUGUCCAGAAAAGUUAGGUGAAACGUAUCAACUGAGCUGGUUUAUUGUAACUGGAGUGCUUUUUGUGUUCAUUUCGUCCUCGUCGGUCGUGCCUGUCUUGUCGACUCGGCUCUUCUUUGUAUUCUCUGGUUUGUGCCAUUGUGCAAAACACGUUACAUGUUGUUCCUUCGUUUCUCAACCGCUAAUAGCUCACGAAAUCGCGCGUCGGAAUCACUUUUACUGACUCUAUUAAUUCAGACGACUGGACAAGCGCUAUAUAGAUUUUUCGCCAAAGCAACAUUACGAGCUCUACUGAAAUUAUUCAAACGGCAUGUUUGCAGAAUCGCGAGAGAACUACAAAGAUGGUCCCAAAAAGGUCUCUAUUCAUUGAACUAGCACUUAUGCAUAUAAUGGAGAGCAUGGGAACAAUUGAACUUUAGCUCAUCAAUAUUAAAUGCUUUUGUUUGUGUUCAUGCAUAUGUGAUAUUUAAUGCAAGAGCCAGGCAUUUUAGGAUUGGUGUUGUUGGGGAAUGAUUGUCGGAUAAUUGUGGUCUCCAUCACAAAAUGGUCCCCCUUAGAAUUUAUUUGUUUUUUUCAUUUUUAUUAGGGAUAAUAUCUAAUAUAUUCUUGAAAAAUUACAAAAUUUCUUAUAUUUUUCUAUUUUUUUGGUUUCAAAUAUACCCCUGGUAUAUUUUUUCGUUAUUCAAAAUUAACUCUGCUAUUAAUAUCCAUUAAGUCAUCUCAGGUUAAAUUUGGAUUAAAUUUCUAUCCGAGUUUAAAACAGUUCAAAACACCUCUUUUCACAGUAUAAGAAUAUAUUUGAAAAGAUAAAAAUUAAAAUAAGAAAAAUUGUGGGGAUCAUAUCCCAAAAGUACGUGCUGCUAAAAAGAAGGCACCCAUCGCACUUAAGGGCUCAACCACAGUGCUCAUGGGAUUUGAUCUGACUCAACCCACUUGAACGUUAGGUCUAUUAUUUGGCCUUUUGCUGUUAGGUCUCUUAUGGACCGCAGCCCAACUCAAUUUAUUAAUCUCUUGUGCUUAUUGUCAUGGGACAGAAAGUUGGACUUAUUUUAGCCCAAUAAUAAAUAGCUAACAAAUUCGUAAUGAUAUAAGGAUAUAUUCAAAAGAGCAAAAAAUAGUAAUUUUACAUAGAUAACGGCUGUUCCUAACAGUUCACUAAUAGAAUUUACCUCUAGGAGUAUAUUUGAAAUAUCUUGAAACGUUAAAAAAUAUAUUUUUAAUAUUAGCCUUCUAAGAGGGAUAAAUAAAAAAAUUAGAAACUUUUUAGGAGUAUAAAAGUAAUUGCACCUUAUUAUUAUUGGAUAUUUUAAUUAUUAAAAAAAAAAAUAGAGAGAUCUAAAAAUUGACAGACCUAAUGCAAUGCACGCUUUAUACAACAUAAAUUGAAACUUUAAAAAGUAAGUUUAUAUGUGUAUUUUAGUAACUUGAUUAAUUUUAUUUGAUUAUAAUCAUGGGAUAUGGCAAAAAAUUAGACAGUAUUAUGGUAAAUUUAAUUAAUUUCGGUGUAUCUAUUAAGGAUAAAUUAAUUUAAAAACUUAUAAUUUAAUUUCAGUGAAUUUGACUUAUGCUAAACUAAAUCUCGGCCCGGCAUGGCACAACCUCGGCCCUGCACGGCCUAGGCCCGUUUCCGACGAUCGAUACAGUGCCGGCUAAUAGGCCCAAAUAUACUAGUCUAGUACGCAAGGAUUUAAGUAUCGCACGGUACGAGCAUGUAUCACACGUGUCGUAUCAUACCCUUAUACAAAACAGCUCGUGGUACGUAGUGUAUUGUAGAGAUUAUCGUAUCAUGAUACAUGUGCAAUACCAUAUGAGAUAUUGUGAUACGUGAGAUGUGCCACGAUAUGUACUGUAAUUUAUCGCUAAUUUAUUUUUUUUUAUUUUGUUAUUCCUUUCUCUCCCUCUUUUUUAAUUUAGUUAUCAGAUGAUUCUAAUCUUCUAUAUUUUAGAAUCUAAUCUAAUCAAAUCUAAAAUUUUCUAAUCUAAUCUAUAAAAUUAAGUCAAAUUAAAUCUAAUCUAAAAUCUAAUAUAAUAUAUGUUUGUAUUUAUCUAUCUAUUGUAUAAUUACAAAGUCUAAUCAAAUCUAAUCUAGUAUUAUCUAUUAUAGUAUUAAAUAUAAUAGAAUAUAGCUAAUUAGAUUUGAAUUACGUAAUUUCAAAUUAUCUAAAUUAAUCUAACCUAGUUUAAAAAUUCUAAUAUAAAAUAAAGUUAAUCUAAUAUAAAAUCUAAUUUAAUCUAUUUAAUAUUUAAGUUUCCUAAUCUGAUUUAGUCUAAUCUAAUCUUAUGAACAAAUUAAUAUAAUUUAGAAUUACUUAAACUAUGCUAUUCCAAUCUGGAAUAUGUUAAUUACCAUAAAUAUAAAAUAAUUUUGAUUUAGUAUUAUUAGAUAUAUUAGAAUUUAUAGUUAGUUAUAGCAGAUUAUAUAGUCAAUUUAAUUUGAUAAUACCAGUAAUAUUUAUACCAAAAUAUUCAAAUAAAUCUUGUAUCAAUAGAUGAUAAUAUGCUAUAUAAUCCAUGCAACGAUUUAUGCAGAAUUAAGCAGUUAUCUCUUUAUAAAAAUAUAAAUUUAAAUAAUUAUUGUACUUAUGAAUUUUAUUAUUAUAUUUUAAUUUCUAUUCUUUAAGACGUAUAAUUAUAUUUUACUAUAAAAAAGCUUAUCUCUAUAUUAAUUAGGCUUAGUUUGGUAUUGAGACAUAUUUAAAGAUAAAAUAGAGUUAGGGUAAAAGUAUAUUGGGAUAUACUUUUGCGUUAUUCGGUAGGACCGUAGAAAAUAUAUUAUAGCCAACUAAUCUCGAUAUGGAGAACACAAUAAUACGUACGGAAACAAAUAGGAUAUUUUUUCACCGCACGUAACGUAAUCUCCCUGCAAUCUCAAAUAAAGCCUUAGUAAGUGCAGUAAGUUAUAUAUAGUCAUUAUUCAUAAUUAUUAUUCAUAAUUAUACUAAAUCUUUCAAAAUAUAUUAUAAAAGUAUAUUGAGACCAAAAAAAUUAAAACACUAGGAGGUCAUGUAUAUCCAUCGACACGUAAGCGUACUAUGUGUUGGCACGGAGACGUACUACAUAUCCAAUGAGGUAACCUGACUUAAUCAUAUUCAGAUUAGAAUUUGAUAUUAGGUAAAUGUUAAUCCUAAUAGAUAAAAUAAUACUUUAUUUGGCUUUAUCAUAUUUGUCUACUAUCUGUUUAGAUUUAAUAGAAUCCUAAUUAGAUUAUGAUUAAAAAUCAAUGAACUCUCUAUAUAAAGUGAUAUCAGUCCUGUCAUCCUUUUCUGCGUACGUUAUAGUAAAUAAUAUCUAUAUCUAUAAAUUCCACGAAGUGUCAGAGAUAUGAGACACCUUCCGAACUUCUCGCUUUUACAGAUUGAUUAAAGUUUUAUUCUCUGUAGUAUUCUGUAAGUACUUCUAUCUUCUUGUUUAUAAUUUUCGGUAUCGAUGUGUUUUCAAGAUUUUUUUGUAAAUUAUUAUAUAUACAUAUCAUGAUGGUCUUUUCGAAAGAAAAAAUUUUUUCUUUGUUUUUUUAAUUUUGUCUUCUUCAUUUUCUUCCACCUCUGCAUCUUUUUCUGCUAUCGCGCCCUUUCUCUCACCUCUACCGCAGCGGCCACUCCGCUCCAAUAAGUUUUCCCUCCCUAUCGUUCUCAAAUCCUAAGACACCCUUGUCGCCAUCACAGUUAUCAUUCAUUAUCAUGCCUUUUGCCGUAGUUUCACCUUCGCGAUUUGUGUUAUAUCCGAAUCAGCGCCGGCAGAGGUGUCGAUGAGGUAAGAGAGAGGUGCACGGCAUCAAAGUGGAGGCUGUGGAAGAGGAGGAGAAGGGAUAAGAAGGAGGAGGAGAAAGAGAGAAAAAAACAGCAAGGAGGUGGGGGACCUAUAUAUAUAUAUAUAUAUAUAUAUAUAUAUAUAUAUAUAUAUGUUUCUUGAUGCAGCCAUAAAUCAUUUAGUUAUAAUUUGUUUUAGUCGUUUUUAAGGUUUUUAGGAUCUUUUUUCAUAUGAAAUAAUUUUUUUGAGAUUAGUGAUAGACUUUAGGGCCGUUUUUAGAUAUGUUUAGAUUAGAAAAUUUUUUAAAAUUGAUAGAUUUGUUUUAGAUUAGGAUCUUGAAGGCCACAUAUAUAGUCUAAGAUUUGUAGUUAUUGGAGAAUUUUAUUUUAGAUUAUUAUAUUUAGUUUUAGAGAAGUUCCCAUGCUAUUUUGGACCUUCUUUUUUGUAAAUAAUUCUAUGAAAAAUUUUAGAGAAGUUCCAAGAUUUUUUUCGGCCAAUUAACUCUCUUCUUGUCAACUCGGUGCUAGAAAGACAGUUAAUCGUAUAUUCGUUUACUAACUUUAGAAAACGGUAAAUCAUUCUCCGUCUUUAGAAAACGAUAAAUUAUUCACUAUUUUUUAGAUUGUUUCUGUUUUUUAUAGAUUUUUUUUUUAAUAAGGAUUAUGAGAAUUUUUAUGAAGUUUUUAGGAUUAUAGGUAAAUUAUUAGAAUUUUUAUUUGAUUGCUAGGAUUGUAUAGAUAGGUUGUUAGAAUAUUUUUUGAGUUGUUUGAGUAGGUUGUUAGGCUGUUAGGAUUAUAUGUGAUUUAUUAAAAUUUUUAUAUAAUUAUUAAGAUUAUAUAUAAAAAGUAAAAAAAAGAUAAAAUUUAUACCUAUAUUUAAGAUGUAUAAAUAUCUUUUGUUUUUUUAGCUACAUCUUAUGUCUUUUCAAUCCUAUACCUUUUCAAUCCAUAGCUAUCAUUUCAUUACUUAUCACAUCAACUAUUUUUUUACUAAAAAUUAGUUAAAUUUAUAUAAAUUCUAUAAUAAAGGGUGUAAGAUCUAUACUGGACUUUUUUUGCAAAUAGCUCCUUCACAAAAUUUUAUUUUAAAAUUGGUCCUGUCAAAAAUUUAUUUGCAAAAAUGGUCCUACCCCUGCCACGCAAGCGCCACAUCAGCGCCACGCGGGCGGGGCGGGAGUUUAAGUUGAACACGGUGAAUGGUUCACCGUGUCCAAUACAAAUAUCAUAUUGGACACGGUGAACCAUUCACCGUGUUCAAUACUAAUACAGUCUUAGCCAAAAAAUGACUAAGUCCUAGGUAGUUGUAUUAGACACGGUGAAUUACAACUAACUCGGUUUAGCCAAUUUUUGGCUAAGUGGGGAUAUUUGUAUUGGAUACGGUGAAUCAUUCACCGUGUUCAACUUAAACUCCUGCCCCGCCCGCGUGGCGCUGACGUGGCGCUUGCGUGGCACAGACAGGACCAUUUUUGCAAAUAAAUUUUUGAUAGGGCCAAUUUUAAAAUAAAAUUUUAUCAGGAAGCUAUUUGCAAAAAAACCCUCUAUACUGUCUAACGGGGCGCACAAGUAGAUAUUUUUUUUUUAGAGAGCAAUGCUAUUGGUAUUCGAUACACCUCAAAUGGGGUGUAAAGCCAAAAGUUUUUUCUUGUUUUGUCAACUUUUUGUUGAAAUAAAUAAUAGAAAUUCAGAGUAUUUUGUAAACCCUCCGAUGAAAAUGGGUAAAGUGAUUAGGAUAAACUUUGAUCGAAUUCGACAUCGGAUUCGGUAGGAUGCGAAUAUAGAUGUCACAAAAUUUAGCAUUCGAUAUAUAUAUUCGUAUUAAAAAAAAAAAAUUGCAGGCAAAUAUGGCUUUACAUGAUUUUUAAAAAAUCCGACCCUAAGAGAUGAGAAAGAUAUAAUUAAAUAUAUAUUGUAGGGAAUAAAGUGGUUUUCUAUCAUAAUUUUUCUUUCAUUUAUUUUACUAAUAAAUUUUAUGUUAAAAUUAUAUUUAUAUUUGUGAAAAAAAUUUAGUUUCAUUAAAUAAAAAUAUAGGUAAACAAAGUUUGAAUUUGAGUAUAAACUUUUAAUAUAUAUAUAUAUAUAUAUAUAUAUAUAUAUAUAUUAGUAUGUAUUAUUAUCCAAAUACGAAUUCCUCUUGUAUUGGAAUUCGAAUCUAUUGUAAGUAAACAUGGUAAUAAAAAUUUAGCAUCUAAUACAUAUCUGCAUCCGAAUUCGUAUCUGAAGAAAAAUUGUCAAAAAUAUGAUCGUAUUCAACUUUUUUCACCUUAGAUAAAGGGGUACAUGUAAAUUAGGGGUGUAAAUUAUAUCCUUUUUAGAGUGUACAAGUAACAACUUUCUUUUUUUAAACCCUAGUAGGGGCAUAAAUCAUAUUUUUUUAGGAAAAAAUUUAGAAUGCAUCAGUUAUAUUGUUGAUGUGGCGUUUCCAACCAAUCAAUUUGUUCUCUUGGGUUCACCCAUCCUAUCAUGGUUAUUAGAAAAUUAUUUUUAUUAUAAUUUUCUCUCAGAAAAGAUAUGUGAUUAGCUGAUUAUUGAUGGUAUAGUAUUAGCAUUACACAGUAGGCCUCCUCCUUUUUUGGGUGUACAAGUAAAUUUUCUUUUUCAAAAAUUAUAAAUAAGGCGUAAGAUUCUAUAUAUAUAUAUAUAUAUAUAUAUAUAGAAUUAUGCUAUUAUAUUAUCAAUAAUAUCAAGCGUUUAGUGCUAUCGAGUUUUCGAUUGUUGGAUGAAAGGACGUGUAGUUAGGAUAAUAGCGGUCUCUUAGGGUUGAAUGGAUGGUUGGUUGAAUAGUAUAAUCUAAUGGGUAGAAAUAAUCAAGGGUAGAUCUAACUGUUGAAAAGUUGAUAGUAACAAGAGCUUGAUACUAUCGAUAGUAUAAUAGCCGGAUUCUAUACAUACAUUAGGCUAGAAUAUUAUCAAUAGCACCAAGCUAUUGGUGCUAUUAGGUUUUCGACACUUAGAUAAAAAAAAUAUACGGUUAGGAUGAUGUGGGUCCUCUAGGGUUGAGUGAGUUUUUGGUCUAAUGGGCGAAAAUAAUCAAAUGGUUAAAUCUAACGACAGAAAACUUGGUAGCACCAAACGCUUGGUGCUAUCGAUAGUAUUCCGGCCGGACUCUAUAUAUAUAUAUAGAGAGAGAGAGAGAGAGAGAGAGAAUUGAGCUAGAAUACUUUUACAAGUAUCACCCCCAUGGUGCUAUUAGGUUUUUAGCCAUUAGAUCUACUCCUUGAUUACUAAUAGCUCUUGGAUCAAACACUAUUCCACCUACNACCACCACCUACCACCAUCAUCUCAACCCUACAUCUCUCCAUCGAAUGGCUCAAAACUCAAAAGCACCAUUUUUUUGAUGCUUUUGAGAGUAUUCUAGUUCAACUCUAUAUAUAGGUGUACAAGUAGCAUUUUUCUUAGAACUUUUUUUUUUUUUUCUAGGGUUCCUUGCAAAGGGGUGUCAACUUUUUCCCACAGGGCGGAAGGGGAAGAGGCUUGUAAAUUCUGAGCAUAUCAACUGGGUAAGCUAGAUAGAACUUUUUUAAUUGGUGACACAAACCGCUUAAUUCUCUCCUUGAUCUACCAUUUCUCUUCUUUUUUUUUUACCAAAAGGGAUUUGCUAAUUCUUGGAAUCUUGGUUUUGAAGGAGAAGGAGAGGUUGAUUCUCUUGAUGAUUCCUAACCCUUUUUUUUUUGUUUUUUUUUGCAAUCAUGAUUUGUUUUUCCAUGUAUAUCUGUUUUUGCUGGAUUGUUGAAUAUCAGGUUCUUCAAAUAAUGCAUUUUAGAUUUCUUGUUGUAGUUCAUCAUCAAGAUUUGAUUCAGAGGUGGGUUUCUAAAUCACCUCUUCCUCUUCCCCUCUCUCUCUCUCUCUCUCUCUCUCUCUCUCUCUUGAUCUCAUUUAUUUGGGCCAUAAAUGGGCUAUUGUGGGCUGUAACCAACUCUUAUAUAUAUAUAUAUAUAUAUAUAUAUAUAUAUAGUAACUGAAAGGGCAUUUUGGGUAUGUGAAAGAGGAGUUCUUUAUUUAUUUGCUAAGGAAAAGGAGAAGAGAAGAGAAGUGGGCUGUUGUGGUUUGGGGAAUUUGUAGGGCUUAUUCCUCUCUCUAUCUCUCUCUCUCUCUCUCUCUCUCUCUUCUUUGGGAGAGAGAAAUAGGGGCAAAGGGAGGAGGGUUUGCAAGGAUCUUCCUGCAGUAAAAUUUAAUAAUAUCCUGGAGAUGGUUUUGGAAAGAGAAGGAAGUUGGGUUCUUGCAAGGCCUUGUUUUGGAUCAAAUCAAGGUUAAAUUCUUUUCUUCUUUUAAGUGUUUGUUUGGCCUCACUACGUAGGAUGUAGUGCUGUUUGAUAAAGUAUUAUUCCAGUAGCAGUAUUCGAAGAAGCACUAUGCUAAAUCCUCGCCAAUGACUCCUCUUUGUAUCGAAAGUAGAAGUUUCAAAUUAGAGCUUUUAAUAUCAGAUAUAUAUAUGAUCUUAUUUCAUGUUUAGUCAUUUGCCAAAUACUCUGUUAGAGGUGACUGCAGUUGAAAGCAAAAGUAGAAUCUAGGCCAACAAUGCCCUUAGGCUAUUUUUGUUUCUUUGAGUUUGGUGAUUUUUUGCUUGAUUAGCCUAGCCUACUAGUAUGUUUGGGCUUAAUGGGGUUUAUGAGGGAGCUUUUCAUGUAUAGAUCAUAAGGUGAAGGCAUUCUCUUGGGUUCUCAUUCCUUGGGGUGAAGAAAAAGAGGUCAAGAGAAGGUUUAGGGUUUCUCUUUUGUUCUUCUUGUUUGAGAUUAGGUCUUUAGGGGUGUUUUGAACUUUAAAGGCAUCUCAAAAGCUUUCUAAGGCAGGAUUUGUUGUAUUAGAGAGGAUUUUGAUGCAGUCAAGAAAUCAACCACAGAUUAAAAGUUAAUUUUUUUUCCCUAAUUUUCGGAAUUUUUAUUUUGGUUAAUUUGUUAUAGUGAAUCUUAAAAGAUUUUUCAGGAUCUUUCUGUACCGAAUAAAUCCCUAAAAAUUAGGAACAUGAUUUUGGAAGUUUAGAAUUAGGAUAAGAUAUAUUUGUAUCAGGAAAAUCACUAAAAUCUUGGGAUUUGAUUAGGAUUAGAAUUAGGUGUUUUUUUUUUUAUUAUAAAUAGGGUCCAAGGCCUGUUGUAGAUGGAGAGUCUUUGGUUAUGAAAAUUUUGAUCUUUGCCUUUGUGGCUUCUCUCUUCUUCAUUCCCUUUCUUCUUCUCUCUAUUCUCCUUUUUCCCUCUUUCACCUAUUGCUACAGAGUCCACUGCUAUAAUACCACAGCUACAAAACUUACUACAGCAUUUUCGGCCUGCAUCAGUUGGUAUCAGAGCGUCCAAAUAGCGGCCUAUUCUUAUUUAGGCCUGCUUCAUACUUGUUCUUGUAUCAAUAAAGGUAUAAUAAUAAGGGUAAAUUCCUAAUGUGUUGUUGAUGUGCCCAUGAGCCCAUCGUUGCGGUGUGGCAAUGUAAAAGAAAACCCUUGUGCUCGUGGAUUUUCAAUUUAUUUUGCGUUCACUAUUAUCUAUCUUCUUGCACAUCUUGGAUGUGGGUGGUUUAUAUCCAAGUCAUUCUUUCUUUCUUGUGGUUUGAUUCAUGGUAGUGCGAGUUCCACUUUACCGCCCUGCAGUCGUCAUUCGUGCCUCUUAUAUACAGAAGUACCCAAUGUGUGUGCAUCGUAUAUAUUAAUAUUGUCAUACAUUCAUUUUGCAAUUAGUUUUACUAUAUUUAAAAAUGUUUUUUAAGGAGUAAUUCAUAACCACAUUGCCCGAGUGAUCACCAAGUUCUCACUGCUUUGGCUGCAAUUUGCUUAAUUUAUAGUUCUCUCCAACUUACUGUCACCUAAUUUUGUUUCGAUUCUUUCAUAUCUUAGAUGGUUUUGAAAUUUCAAAUGAUAUUUCUUUCUUGUUAAAUGUUGCAGGAGUUGGAAUCAAGUAAAGUCACUCAAAUAUAACGACGGUUUAUGGUAUAUAUUUCCCCUCACUUAUAUGAAAGCAUCAUAAUGGUUUCCAACUGAGCAUGGAAACAAGCUUAACGAUCAACUUGUAAUCAGCCACAGGUGGUGAAAGUUAAAUUGAUGUCUCCAAGAAGUGAUAGAUGUUCCCAGGUUGGUCAUAGAAGACCUGUUACCAGAUUUUCAGUUUCGCCGUCAAGCUUCUCUGAUUUGCCAAAUACUAAAAGCAUGUGCCAUAUCUAUGCAUCUAGAAGGAAUGGCUCUAUGUACAAAAGGAAGAACUUGGGUAAGAACACAAUCACUCUCUUGCUCGAAGAAAGUACAAGCAGAGGUGCUAGCUGUGAUAUCGAGAGAGCGUCUGUUGUCUCCUCAAGUGCUCCUAUGAAAGAGUUUCACGGAUCUCAAACCUUGGUAGAUAGUGGAAAAAGUCAUCAGGAAGUGCCGUUCAUGGCUGCAAACUCGCAGAUUGAACAGAUUGCAAACAACGGGGAAAACAAUGUCAGUAAUGAUAGGCGGUCAUCGCCGAAAGCUAAUGCGGAACUUCGAUCAUCUGUGGUUGAGAAAGUAGAUAGUAAGACGAAAGAACCAUUUGAAGGAUUCGCAUCAACAAGGGAACUCUGCAUUCAUGUCCUCAAAAGUAGUGGACUCCUCCCGGAAGAACGGGCUCGAGAAAAUUGUGAUUCUAUAGAUGACCAAUGUGAAAUUGACUAUGAGAAAUCGUUAAAAUGCAUAAAAUGUGGGGUUUCGGAAUGCUCGUCAAAGAUGCUGAUCUGCGAUCUUUGCGAGGAGGCAUUUCAUUUAUCUUGCUGCAAUCGUAGAGGAAAGAAAUUGCCAGUCGAUGAGUGGUACUGCCAAGUUUGUUUUAGAAAAAAACCUAAGCACUUACGCGCGAAACUUUUAAAACCCAAAGACGAACUAGAUGGAAACAGGAAUCAAGUAUCUCGAAGGGGUAUACGUCCUAUUGCUUUAAUGUUGAAAGAUACUCAGCCAUAUACAACUGGGGUUCGAAUUGGGAAAGAUUUCCAAGUAGAAGUUCUGGAAUGGAAUGGUCUAAUCACAGAGUAUGUUUUCUUUUACUCUUAGUCUCAUUCUUUUAUCUAUUUUCCAUUCUACAGAUAUAAAGCAAAAGUUUGUUGUAUUUAGUAUAAAGGUGAAAAAUGGUAGCAACAUUUUGUUAUCGCACAACAACUUCAGAAAACUUUAGGCUUAAUAACAAGUUCGGUACUCAAAGUUUGGCGUUGUUGUCAUUUAUGCCUAAUAACAUAUAACAAAUUUAUGACUAAAUUGUUUUAAAUUGAAACUGAAAACCUAACGGAUAUCAGGAUCAAACUACGUGAAGUAAAUAGCAGCUAAACUAACAUCUAAUUAUCUCGACAGAGGAUUUUCAUAUUGCAGUUAGCACUGUUUGUGUUUACUGUUUACGAGUUUCUCCCAUCACCCAUAAUAUUCCUUGAUAUAUUCUUCAUAAUUACUGUUUUUGCAGUACUCAUGAUUGUCUCGGUGAGCCCUCUGAAGUUGAUCCUGCUGAAUUCAGUAACAUUUCCGUAAGCCUUACGGACCCAAUAAACCUUAAGGGAUUAAUUGCACUAAGAGUCUCCAAACUUUUUAGGAAGUUUCACUUUGGUCCUCAACUUUUUGAUUGUUACUAAUUGAGUUUGUAAUUCGCGAUCCAUUGCAAUCUUACUCUUUUCAUCAGAUUCCUCAGUUAAGUUGGAUGAAAUGCUUAUUCAAUCUCUACAAAAGAAGUCUAAAAGUCGCUCAGUUGGUCGUUCGAAAUGUUUGCAUAGAUAUUUUUGUCCAAUUUAGAGGAAUAUGAUCUAAGGGCAAGAUUAUAGCAAAUCACAAAGAUUAGGGGAUGAAACUGAAGUUAUGGUGCAAUUUGCCCUAAUCUUGUGUUGUCAUAAACAUUUCCGCUUAGCAUGUCUUCUUUUUUGUCACUUAGGAUUUGAAGAGUGACAGUAAGGUCAAAUCAGGGAUGAUAAAUAACUGGAUCCAAUGUCGAGAAAAGAUUGUCUCAAGCGAAACUGACAAAGAAAUGGUUUGUGGAAAGUGGCGCAGGUAAAAAACUCUUCAUAGAAUCAAAGUAUAAUUUAAAUUAGGUUACAUUUUCUCGAUGUAAGUAGUGAUAAUGCUCUCUUUGAGAUACAACAAUGUUGCAUUUUACCAAUUGUAUCUAGCGCAGUUGGCUCUAGCGCAGUUGGCUCUAGCGCAGUUGGCUAUAGGCUUGAUGGUUGGUAUUUGAGGUUCCAAGUUCGAAGCCUAAUUGCUUCACAUUUCUAGCUAAGUUAAUUUUUUUAAAAAAAUGAACGAAGCAGUUAGCAUGCUACCACUCUCUCUCUCUCAAUAAAAAAUAAAAUUUUUAAAAAGACAAUGUUGCAUUUACAUUUCCCUCAUACCUUGAGUUCAAAUGUGCCUUUAAAGCCAAUUCUCCAUUGGCAAUAGAGCAUAUCUUUCUUCAUAUGUUUGUGUUUUUAACGACAAACUCAUGUUGUAUACCAAGGUUUUAAGUGCCCGUCGGCACGGGCUGUAUUCACCGUGCCGUACCGUGCCAACAAGAUACCUGCACGACAGACCCCGUGCCGAUGGCACAGCUCAAAACCCUUUAUUAUUUAAAUUAGUAAGUAAUUUUCUCAAUAAAGUUCGAAAGAUGUGAUAAAAAGACAUAAUAAAUAGUUAGAAUAUUUUGUUGCUAAAGAAAAUAAAUAUUUCAUGCUAUUAUGUGUUGGCACACAAUUUUUUUUGACCGGCAUGCAUCGGCACGCACCGUGCCGUACCGUGCCGACAAGUUUUCGGCACGACCUCGUGCCACGACACUUAAAUCCUUGAUAUAUAUAUAUAUAUAUAUAUCUAUUAAAUCUAUUAAAUAAUAUGAAUCCUCAAUACUUUUGCCACGUGGCACCCCCUCCUUCACCCAUCUGCUCCACUUCCCUUCUUUUCCCAUUGUCGCUAACUAUCACCUCCAAUAAAUAAAUAAAUUUAUUGAUUUUCGUCUACCCUUGCUGUUACAUCCCUCCACUACCUAUUUGGGGCAUUCAUUUCCUUUCAUUUUGAUGCCUAUAUAAUUCAUCCAUCUGCCCCUCCACUACCUAUUUGGGGCAUUCAUUUCCUUUCAUUUUGAUGCCUAUAUAAUUCAUCCAUCUGCUCCCCUUCCCUUCUUUCCCCAUUGUUGCUAACUGUCACCUCCAAUAAAUAAAUAAAUUUAUUGAUUUCCCUCUACCCUUGCCGUUACAUCCCUCCACUAUCUAUUUGGGGCAUUCAUUUCCUUUCAUUUUGAUGCCUAUAUAAUUCAUCCACCCUCAAAUGCUAUGAUGCUGUUACUCCAAUUUUAAAUUAAAUGCCCACUUUCAAUGAAUGAUCCUCCAAUGUAAUUGAUAGCCUCUGCUAAGAUGAAUGCUCAGAAUGGUAGACAUAAAUUGAAAUAUGGUCUUCUCAUAUUUUGGUGAUGCUUUUACUGUCUACAAUUAGUUAGUAUUUUGGGUUUCUUUUUAAGACUUCUAAAAUUGAGUUUUUAUUAUUGCUGUAGUAUGAUAGUUUGUUUAUUAAUUUACUUCUUUGUUAUGUGAAAUAACAUAUCUUCUAUGAUUGUUCUAUUUUUGUUCUAUUGCUUCUGCUAAAUUAUAAAGGCAAAUUUGUGACUUUCUUAUUUCCAGCAUACCUAAAUUUGAAAUGUGUAGCUGUUGUAGUAUUGAGUUUAAUCUUUAAGUUGCCCGGUUAUUUCAUUGUUAUAAAUUGAGGCAUCAAUAUAUUAGUUCAAAAUAGAUUUACAAUAAUUGUAAAUUAAUUCAAAUUUCCUUAGUUAGGGUCUUUUCUUAUUUUUUGCAUAAGAUUUGUUUCAGUGAAAUUUCUUAUUUAGUAGGAACAACAAUUAAAUUAGAGUCUUUCCUUAUUUUUUGCAGUAGAGUCUUUCCUUACAACAGAAAAUUUUUUUCUUGAAUUCCUUUAAUAGUUAGUAUCUUUCCUUAAUUUUUGCAUUAAAGUUUCUUCAGUGGCAUUUCUUUAUUGAGUACGGAAAACAAUUUACUCUUGAGUGAAAUAUGAGGUUUAUAUCGUCUGUCCUUAUAGACCAUAUACAGCAGAAAUAUUCUUCUUAGAAAACCUGUUCCUUAAAAGUUUUGCCAUAUAUUAUGUGAUUAGUAGCUACUCUCUUUCUAUUUAGCAGUAUUAAGAGUAUAGCAUAAAUGUUUGUUUAAAUUUUUUUGAGAUGUUAAUAUUUUACAUUUUUCUACUGAGAUGAUAUAUUAAAUAAGAUUUGAUCUUCACAUUUUCAGUUUUUUUCACAAAUAAUUCAAAAUAUGAACUUCUCAAAUGAUUUUCAAGUUAGUGAUAUUUGGCUUGGUUUCGAAAUAGUUUCUCUAUUCAUAUAUAGAAAGCGGCAAUUAGCUGUCUAACAAAAAUGAAUAAUAAAAAUUGUAUAUUUUGAAACUAGGCAUUCUGAUUUGAAAUUUUAUGUUCAGUGAGAAGUUAUUAAAACUGCCAUCCAUUAUUUUAGUUAUGGUAAUUUUCAAUGUGAGUUGAAAAUUUUUGUUGUAUGAACUUUUUCAAAGAUUGACUGGAAUUUUUAUACUUAUAUCAGGAAACUUUUAUUUACUUUUAUCCACUCAUGAAAUGCCUAUGUAAGUCUUCUUCUCAAAUUUCUUUCAAAUCUCUAUGUAAUACUCUUAUCUUUUUCACAACUUUUUUUCUUUUUUUUUUAAAUUUCUUAUUUUUUUUAUUUUUGUUUGCUGGACGGAGGUAACACACACUUUGUAUUCACAAAUUUUUCUUUUUUCCCAAUAAGUUUAUAUGCCAAUCUAAUGUCCCUUUUUAUCCAUUAAUUAUAUUUUCUCGGCCGUAAGGCCACGUUUUCUGCAUUUAAAUGUAUGAUAUAUGCUUUCCUAAAAGUUCUUGAUGGUCGCCAUCAUUUUCUGUUUUAUUGCUUCAUCAUCCAACUCUGUUGAAUUUCAUAGUUAAUUAGAUGGUGAAAUCAACAGAAGAUCAAAUUAUUCUAUAUAUUUUAUUUGUUUCCAUUUGUAGCAAAGAUGUCCACUCUUUUUAGUAUUAUAUACAAUUAUAUAAUAAUAUACGCUAAAUGGGAUCAUUUGUCCUUACUAAAUUCAUGGAAAAAGAAUUAUAAUAUUAUGCAUUUGCAUGUAAUAUAUAGAGAUAAAAAAACAAAAUUUACAACUCAUCUUUGUUGACAAUUAAAGUUUGAUUAAUAUAAAUUGUUACGACAUAUUUAGUAUUAGUAUCUCAUGCUAUAUAAGGAUACUAUAUAUUACGUAACAUAAAUGAUGAUUACUGAAUGCACACUCUUUCUCCCCCUCUAAAUUUAUAGCAAAGUUUGCUUUGUCUUUCUUAAGGCGUGUUGCAGUAAGCGGGUAGCACGCUACCUUUCUCUCAGAAAUAGCAGCACAAUUGAUGGCAAAAAAAGCAGAAAAAGAACCAACAGCACUAGCAGGACAAUCAAUGGCAAAAGAAGAAAAAGAAAAAUAAAAUACUAUUUUGCCGCAGCUUGAUUUGCAUAUGCUAUCAAUAACACACACCAAGUUGAACAGAACAACAUGUAUCAAAAGAUGUAUAGUCAAAUGAGACAGUAAAUCAGUACAUAUUUUACUCUAUUAGUAUAUUAUUCAUUCUUUGUUCUGCUGUAGCUGGUAAUAUAAUUAGAUAUGUAAAACUUUAAUUGAUUAAUUUAUACAGUUAUGUUGUAAGUAGUAAGUAUAGAAAAAAAAAAAUUUUACUGUAGGGACACAAUAAUUUGUAACAGAAAAGACUAAGGAAAAUAAUGCUCUAGAACUUAUUAAAGAGAAAAAAUAAAUAAAAACUAUAAUUUUACUUCGACAAUAGCUACUCACUGCAUUGUGCGAGUUCCUGCACUAGUAUAUAUAUAAGGUCCUAAAUUGCACAAAAUUGAAAAAUAGUGGACUUUUUUAUUUUCUAUUUUUAAUUAUUUCUUUCAAAGUGCCAUUUUUGGUUCUUAUGCAUGUCUCGCUAAUUUAAUGUGUGUCCUAAAUCCUUUACAGGGCACCUCUUUUUGCCGUUCAAACUGACGAUUGGGAUUGUUCAUGUGCCAUUCCUUGGGAUCCGACCCAUGCUGAUUGUGUUGUUCCUCAGGUGAUUGCUCAUUUUAUACUGGUAAAAUGUACUGAUAGUCCUUAUAGUUUCUAAUAUUUGUGUGAUGCCCCAUUUCAGGGGUCACCCAUCCUAGACUAGUUCUAGCACGAUUAGCCCUUUUAAUCUCUUUGGCCUAGCUACCAUUCAACAUGCUAUAGCUAGGUUUAGAAGUUUAGCUAUAAUAUAUCUUAUAUAUAGGACUAUACCAAGUCCUAUGGUGUCACAUUCCUCUCCCUUUAAGCCCUGAUGUUCUCGUUAGACUCAAGCACACUUAAAAGCACCAGACGAUCUAGCUUUAGCCGACUUUAUAGGGAGCCGUGCUCCACCCACACUGUUCCGGUUAGUGAUUGGCUCUGAUAACAACUGUGACGCCCUACUUCUCAGAGAGUCACCCAUUCUAUAAUUACUCUAAUUCUAGCACGAUUAACCUUCUUAACCUCUUGAGCCUAGUCACUGCCCAACAUGCUAUAGUUAGGUUUAGAGGUUUAGCCUUAUUAUAUCUUAUAUAAGACUAUACCAAAUCCUAGGGGUGUUAUAAUUCACCAGUCUUUUCUCAAAUUUUCACUUACACGCAUAUCGCAAUUAAAUCCCUGAAUGAAAUGAGAAAGCCAUUUUAUAGGAGGGGUGAAAUAGUUAUUGGGAAAUUAGAUCUUUUCGAGGUCCAAGAUGAAGUUGCAAAUUAUAAGAAAGUUCAAGGGCUAAAGUGUUUAAGUGAAAAUUACAAGGACCAAGCAGUAAUAUCAGGAUAAUACAGGGACUAUCCAUACAUUUUCUACUGUUAUAGAUAUCCUUCUGUUCACGUUGAUAUACUUAAUUCCUUGGUUAUGGUUUCUUAUGAUUUUUUACAAUUUAAAAUGCUUAAUUCCUUGAUGUUUCAAUUUUUGAUUAUUGAAAUUUGUGGACUAAUUUCCUAAAGGGUUAAAAUUCAUGGAUUAAAUUACUAAUUGACAAUUUAGCACUAUGCAGGACUCGGCAAAGGUGGUUUUAUAUGUUCUUCUAUAUCUGUUUAUCCAAUACAAGUUUGUCUAUGAAAAUUUCAAUAUAAAACAUAUUUACAAUUUAUGCCCCCCAAUUAAAGCAUAUCUGUUUUAUGCCUUUCACUUCAUAUAUGCGUUUUUGUGAGUUCAUUUCCUUUUUACCAUUUGAUUUUGUCUCCGUCUAUAAUAAUUAAUCAAGCUUACGGUCUUUUAGUAAUUAUGUCGUUAUUUUAUUUACAGGAGUUGGAGACAGAUGAGGUUCUUAAGCAGCUGAAAUAUAUAAAAAAGGUAAUUUCAUAAACAUCUAAAAUUGUGCGAGUAUUAUAUUAGUUUUGCACGAGCGGCUCCUUAUUAUCGACGAUACCAAAUAGUUGGUCCAAGUACUUGGUUUGCGCUCAACUUUUGCUAUAGAGUGGUCGGUUGUACUUCAUUUUUUUACUCAAUGAACAUGAAAUGUGUCUGCAGCUCCGGUGUCGUCUUAGCAAUAAAAAGAAGAAAUCAAACCAAAUAUAGACGAUAACCGGGAAUAGGAGUUGUCGCGCUGUGCUACAGGACCGCGAACAGAUAUAAAGUAAGUUGCUAUACUUCCUAUAAUUAACAUCUCGUGCGUGAAUUUGAUCUGCGCUUGUAUCUUCGGUUGGUUUCUAGGGUGGUAAUAAUACAGGAUGGGAUAGGAAUAAUGUGUUCCGGGAUUUAUUUGCGACCCGUCUAGAGCAAUGGGGAGCCGAUUUCAUUCGUGCAACUAUGUUGGAGAAGAAACCAUCCAAAUGAAGCUUUGUUUGAUCAGAUGGAGCUUCUGCAGAAGUGUUGUUUUUAGUAGGGCUUUUUGGUGAAGUUUUUAAAAUACUCAAAACAGCUUCCCACUAUCGGUUAAGUAGAAAUUGAGGAGUCCCAAGAGUAUUGUUAAAAGCAGAUUCAGAUUAAUUUCAGUUGUUCCAGCCAAGAAAGGAAUUACGCGAGUAUCUCGAGAUUAGAUUAAAAGGGAAGUGAGGAUAUUUAUUUGAAGAGGCUUUUGCUUAUUUACCCCUUACUACUAUUCAAAAAUUUCAAAUUUAUCCUAAAUUUACGAAAGUAUCCUUCUAAAGUCCAAUCCCACUAAUAAACCCUAGGAGAAAUGGGGAUAUUUGAAGGAAUUUUUUAAAAUCAACAAGGGUAUUUUGGUCCACCAAGGGAUAAAUAAGAUAUUUUUGAAGUUUUGAUGUGGGAAAUGAUAUGAAAGUAAAUAAGGUUGAUAUGACAGGUUGCUAGUGCUCUAUAUGGAGGGUUUUCGGCCGAGCCAGAUGCUAAUUAGUUUCAAGUGAAAACUCCAUCAUUUUGAAACUUCAAACCUCGCUAGAAAUGUCGGUGGAAACUUCGGACCUUGAUAGAAAACUUCCAAUUUGGAACCAACUGUUCUUGGGUUGAGGAACUCAUGUCGUCUAUGCCACAACAACAGCUCUAGAUUGUUAAAUGUUUCAUUAGUAUAGAGUUAUUCCAAUCUUCUAGAAGCUAGGGCACGUAGGAACUAAAUCUACUAUGAAUUGUUUCGGCUUUGAUUGAUUGCUAAACUAGUUCUUUCUGUAUUCGUUCUUUGUGUGCCCACAUCUUACUCCUUUAUUGCACUCUUACAUAACCUUUGACAAUAGAAACUCCCGCAAAUUGGAAUCCAUCAAUAGAGGCAAUAGAGGCCUUUUGAUUUCGGGAGAACUCAUACUUGACAUUGAUGGGUCAUAUUCUCAAGCGGAUGUCGGUGCGGGUGGUGCGGGUCCUUUUGAGACUAAUGGUCAUCUCGUUUUUGCAGGAUUUUUGGGUUUUUAUUGCUCAAGAACUAUUGAAGCUUCAAGUGACGUACAUAACCGUCAAUCGUGAGUUUUUUUUUUUUAUGAUUUUGAUACUAAAUUUGACUCUUUUAUGCUCGUGCAUAGUUUGAAAAAGGAAUUCACUUGCCGUAGAAACUCGAAUCCCUUUUUUUGUUGACUCACCUCACCCCCAUUCUCUUAGUACUUGCUCUAAAGUGCUUUUGGAUUUCUCGUGUUUAAUACGACGAAGCUAAAAAUGAUGUUAAGUGGCUCGCAAAUGUUGGUUGUUGUAUUCAAUGUGCUCUUGUUUUGAGAAUAGAGUGGUAGAUAUCUUCUGAGUUGUGCGCCCUAAAUAUCCCCGUGAGUCACAAUGGAUUCGGUCGUGUUGUCAUAGUAUGAGAUGAUGACUCGCGAUGAAUCUCGAUCGAUGGUGCAUAUGGCAAAUAUGCGUGAUGCACGCUAUUACUCAACCUCGUAAGCACUUUCGUGAUUCCACUUUGUUUUGUGGAUCGAAACACGAUCGAGCUCGAGUCGACUCCUUUUUCGUAGUUGGCUCAUAUAUUUUGUGGAUCGAAACACAAUCGAGCUCGAGUCGACUCCUUUUUCAUAGUUGGCUCAUAGGGGAGCUCUAUGGCUAAGGAUGGCCAAGGAUGGAGUAAUGCUAUCCUCAAGAGUAAUAAAAUAUUCAUCAAUUAUGGGGCAAAUAUAAUGAGGAUAUCUACCUAAUCUUGAGAUCUUAUCAAAGCUCUUUUUGUUUCUAUUCUUGGAAUAGAAACUUUUGAGUCCCAACUAUUCUUAGUAUUCUAUAAAGAGGGUAGAGGCUUUGGCCCUAACAAGUUGUUUUGGAUGAUGGGUUGUCUAAAUCGAUGAUCAGUACCGUUAAACUUGAUCUGAAGUAGUUAAAAGUGAUGAGAAGCUUUAAGUGGUUUUUGUCAAUUAUGUACUUUGUGAUUGUAAGGUACCCAAAAUUGGUAAUUUGUAAUGGGCAAUAUGAGCCCCUCUUGUUUAAUUUUGUUGGUUUUUUAUUAUAGAGGUUUUUUCUCAUAUACCCUUAACUACUGUGUCUGGCAAACAGGCGGGUUAGGUAAACUGCGGGUGGGUUAUUGUACCGUAGAUUAUAUGGGUAUGGGUAAAAUUUAUCCAUAAAGUUUUGGGUGCCAAUAUCUUUACCCAUACCUGCCUGCAGGCAGGCGGGUAUGCGGGUUCUUCGCAAGAUAUUCUUUUUUCUUUUUUCUUUUUUCUUUUUUUUUUUUCCUCUUAUACUUUCUUAAAGCAAAAUUGGUAUAUGUAAUUUUCAAAAAUCAUAACAUAAAUUGUGUUUGAAAUAUCACACCAUACAAUAAACAAUAUAAAGUCUUAAAACACUUAAAUUAUAUAAUGUAAAAGUAGUUUAUAAUUUUAAACUUUCAUGAUACAAAAUUAAUAUAGUUUUCAUGUAUGAAGACAAUAAAUUAGGAAUAGAAUUUUUUUAAUUAAAAAAUAUAUGCGGGUAUUCAUGGAUACCCGCGGUUGCCCAAAAUGUCCAUAAUUCAACGGGUAUUCAUCCGUUUUACCCAUAAUUUUUUGGGUAAGCAAAACUAGUACCUAUACCCGCAAAUUUGCUGGUAACCUGUGAGUAUCCUCGGGUAUGGGUAAAGAUUGUCGGGUCUACUUACUACUAUUUACAACUUUUAAAUUUACCUUUUGUUUUCAAAAAUACUAUUCUAAAAUUCCAAUGCCAUUAAUGAAUUCUAGAGGGCAAAGGGAUAUUUGAAGCAUUUUUUUUCUAGGUAUUUUUGUCAACCAGAAAUAAAUUUGAUAUUUUUGAAGUUUUAGAUGGCAUAUUAGAUUUAAUUCCUUUAUUUAUAAAAUAUAUUCCACUAGCUAGAUCACGUCAAGAACAUCGAUCAUGAAUUGAAGAAUUCUAACCUCUAUUUUAGUAGUUAUUUGAUUUUCACAUUCACCGGUGCCACUUGAUGUAAUAAGUGUAAUGCCCCAAUAGUCCUACAUCGCGUGGGAAAAUAAUUCUCAUUAGAAUAUAUGAGGUCUACACACUAGUAAUAAUAACCGGAUUUAAGUAUUUUGGGCCGACAGUUUGGGUCCAACGAGUUAUUAUUGCUAGCGGGUCAGGUUAUUACAAUUGGUAUCAGAGGCGAAUACCAGCCGGAAGUGUGAGAGCUAAGUGCUAUGCGGGGCAAAGUGCUAUACCAACGAAUUUGGUGGGAGUCACAUCUUGAAUCCUUAGGAGCCACCUCUAGAAUCUCACAUCGCAUAGUAAUUCUGGUCUGUAUCUGUGAUCUGGUUUGGAGCCGACGAGGACAUCAGGGUCUAAACAGGGAGAGUCUGUAACGCCCUAAUAGUCUCACAUCAGGUGGAAAAAUGAUUCUCAUUAGAACAUAUAAGGCCUACACGCUAGUAAUAAUAAGUGGGUUUAUGCAUUUUGGGUCGGCGGUUUGGACCCAACAAGUUAUUAUUGCUAGCGGGUCGGGUUAUUACAAUAAGAAUCUGAAAAAUCAUAAAAUUCGAAGUCCACCUACUUCAAAUACUCUAGAUUAAGUUUAAUGCUGACUUUAUCUUCCUUAAAGGAUAUUAACAAGAUAUUGUUGUCGCUAGGUGUAAUUUUGGAACUUUGGGAGAUUUUUAUGGUUUUUGUAGGGGAAUUACUAUCAUCCUAACCCCACAACCCUUCAUCCAAAAGUUGAAAAUCGUAAUCAUCGAUUAUGUAGUGCAAUUAGAAGCAUUUGAUUUUGCAGAUUAAGUCUAAAUUUUUAGUAAACUGAUCAAAUUAUUCUUAUUCCUUUUUCUCUUUCUCUUUCGUUUAUCUUAUAUAUCUUUAUCCUCUCACUUUCUCUCCUUCCUCUUCCUUCCCCACUGCCCCCACCUCAAUGCCUGCUCCUCUUUCUAACCUCGCCCACAUCUUUGCAACUGCGGUAGUGGCAAUGCGGGCUCGGAUAUAACGCAGGUCGUGGAGAUGAGGCUACAACAGAGGGCAUGAUUGUUGACGGCGGUGACGGCGAUGAGAGUGUCGCAGUACUUGAGGAAGAUGGGUAGGGAGCGCGCAUUAGGGGUGGGGGCAGUUUUUUCGACUUUAGCUCUCCACAUAAGAGUCUCCCUCGCAUGUCUAUCGAAUGGAAGCACUUGCUAGUCGAGAAAUGCUUGGAAGUAUAGGACUAGAAUUGGUACCAUUUAAAACUAUUUGAGAUUAAGUUCCAACUUUUCAAACAGUGCAAUUUAGUCUCAAAUAGUUUUAAAUGGUGCAACUUAGCAUCAAAUAAUAUAACUAAGUCUCAAAUAGUAUAACUUCUUUUUUCUUUUUUACUUCUUGGCCUUUCCUGUAGUGGUUGCAGCGCAUGGUGGCUUUUAUAGGAGAAGAAAAAAUAUAUUUUUAUUUUCUUCUUCUUUUUUUUUUCUUUCAUUUUUUGCAUUCUUUUCCACUAUUGUACCCCCUCCCUCGCCCAACACACUUCCACCCCUCCACCCCCACACCUUCGAUGCACUCUUCUUUCUCGUCGCUUUUAAAUCUUGCAGCAUCCUUGUUGCUGUCCACAGCCACGUCCUCCACUGCAGCCUUACCUUCAUAACUUGUGCUAUAUCUGAGCCCACAACGUCAUUGUUGACGUCGGCGGAGGUGUGGGUGAGGCAAUGAAGAAGAUCGUGACAUCGACAUGCUAGUGGUAGAGGAGGAGAAAGGAGAGGAAGCGAGAUGAGAAGGAAAGGAAGGGAUGCCAAGAAUAAAAAAGGACAAAGAGGGAAGAGAAAAAUGAAUAAGAAAGAAAGGAGAGAGAAAGAGGAAUAAGUAUUUUUUUGGUUAGUUUAUUGAAAAUAUAGACCUAAUCUGCAAAAUCUAAAAAGGUGGUUCAUCUUUGCAAAAAUACAAAAUCGAUGGGUUUUUUAUAUAAAUUAGCAAUAUAUAUAUAAUUUUGCUACUAUAAUAUCGAUAGUACCAAGUAUUUGGUGCUAUUGAGUUUUUGACCGUUGAAUGAAAGGAUGUGCGGUUAGGAUGAUAGUGGUCUUCUAGGGUUGAGUGGGUGGUUGGUUGAAUAGUAUGAUCUAACAGAUAAAAAUGGUCAAAAGGGUAGAUCUAAUGGUGGAAAACUUGAUAACACCAAGAGAUUGAUACUAUCGAUAGUAUAGUAGCCGAACUUUCUCUUUUUUUUUCUCUCUCUCUCUCUCUAUAUAUAGAAUUGAGCUUCUGUGCUUUUAAAAGUACCAAAUUAUUAGUACUUGUAGAUUUUUUGCGAUUGGAUUAAAAGAUGUGUGGUUAGGAUGAUAUAGGCUCCCUAAGGUUGAGUGGGUAGUUGGUUGAAUAGUAUAAUCUAACGGGUGAAAAUGAUCAAAGGCAUAGAUUUAUAGGAGAGACGGGGAGAGGGGGAGGGAGGGGCUGGUAUACUAUCGGUAGCACGGAGACCUUCGUGCUACCAAAUUGUUGUCAAUGUUGUGGCUUCCAAAUCAACUAUUGGCUCCGUUCGACUUCAUUUACACUAUUGAAAGUCUUUGAAAACUAAAUUUCAUAAUUUUUCGACAUCAUUUACCUAUCUAAUGAAUAGUCUAAAAAUGAACGGCUGAAAAUAAAAAUCUCAUAAAAAUGAUGGUAAAAGACUUGAAUUUAAUAUCAGAGGUACUGAUUUUACUCUAAAUAGUGAAAAAAAAUUUCUAUAAAAAUUUCAUUAGAUNUGGUAAAAUUUCUCUUUGCCAAGGAGAAGAUGCGGGUUCGAUUCCCGCUAUCCGCCCAUAAUCAUAAUUAAGUAAUGUACUAUGAUAAAAAGAUAAAAAAUUAAUUGACUACUAUACUAACUACUAACUACUAUAGUGGUUAGUAUAGUAGUUCUAUCUUCCCCCUUUCCUUGCCUACCAUCCAAAAACAAAAAUGUUGCGGAGACAGGAUUUGAACCCGUGACCUCAAGGUUAUGAGCCUUGCGAGCUACCAAACUGCUCUACUCCGCGCUAAAGAACUAGGAACUAAUGGGCGAAGAAAGAUUGGAUACGCCCCUCUACCAUAUCUAUACAAAUAGAAUAGUCCAUUUAUACAGAAUGGUAAAGAGGGCCCUUCUAUGAUCAUAGAUCAUAGAGAUCUAUACAAAUAUGAAACGAUAUUUUUAUCCUUACCAACUUGAUCUUGUUGCGCCCGGUAACAAACAUGCAUAAACCAUUUCUCGAAGUAUGUGUCCGGAUAGGCCAAAGUCUCGAUAGUUAGCUCUAGGUCUUCCAGUCAAAAAACAACGUCGAUGAAGACGUAUAGGUGCACUAUUACGUGGUGGGGAUUGCAAUUUUCCAUGAAUUUCCCAUUUUUCACUCAACGAUGAAACUUUGCUUAUUUUUUCUUUUGAGGAUCGGCGAAUCAAAUGAUAUUUCUGUUCCAAAUUUUUCCGCUUGUUCUCCCUCUGAAUCAAACUUUUUCUUGCCAUAAUGUUCAGUUCCUAUUAUUAUCAAUGAUACAGUUCGGAUCCUAGAUGUAAAAAUAUAAGAAGGCGUAUCCUCCCCCUCCAUCGAAACAAAUGAAAUUGUUGCUGAUACAGUACAUAAAAAAACAAUAAAUAACUAAAUUAACCAAAUUUUUCUGAUGUGGAGGCAAUCAAGAAAGCUGCAUAAGUGAAUAUAUAACCCAUGGAAAAGUGGGCUAAUCCAACCAAUCUUGCUUGUACAAUGGAAAGAGCCACUGGCUUAUCUCUCCAUCGAAUCAAAUUAGCCAUAUAUAUAUAUAUAUAUAUAUAUAUAUAUAUAUACAGUUGAGCUAGAAUACUAUCGGUAGCAAACGGGCUCCAUUGCCACCCAUUUGUUUUCAAUGAUGGAGCCUCCAAAUCGACAAUCGGCACCAUUGAAUAUGAUUUAUACCACUUGAAGUGUUUACAAAUCAAAUUUCAAAUCUUUUCGACAUCAUUUGCCUAAUGAUCAAAGGGUUUCAAAAUUUGUAAUUUUGAUGGUCGAUAUGAGGCGUUUUUUCGUUUAACGGUGUAAAGAUAUUCAAAUUAAUUGAAUUUUUGUUCGAAAAUUCUUUAAACUAUUUAAAAUAAGAUCUAUACCCUUGAUCUUGAUUACAAGACUCCUAUCAUCAGUUUUUAAAGAAUAUUCAUUUUCAGCCGUUUAUUUUUGUGUCUACUUAAUGGAUAAGAGAACAAUAUCGAAAAUGUAUGAAAUUUGAUUUUGAUGAUGAGAGGCUAGUAUACUAUCGGUAGCACGGAGGCCUUCAUGCUACCAAAUUGUUUUUGAUGAUGUGGCUUCGAAAUCGACGAUCGGCUUCGUUAGAAUUGAUCUACACCAUUAAAACUAUUUGGAAACUAAAUUUCAUAAUAUUUCGAUAUCAUUUGGCUAGUGAUCAAAAGGUCCCAAAAUUGAUAAUUUUAAUGGUAGAUGUGAUGCGUUUGUGAAUUUAACGGUGUAAAACAAUUCAAAUCUGAUAAAAUUUUUGUAGAAAAUUCUUUUCACUAUUUAGAGUAAGAUCAGUAUAUCUGAUCUUAAAUUUAAGUCUUUUAUCAUCAUUUUUUAUGAGAUUUUUAUUUUCAAUCGUUCAUUUUUGGACAACUCGUUUGAUAGAUAAAUGAUGUCGAAAAAUUAUGAAAUUUAGUUUCUAAAUAGUUUUAAUGGUGUAGAUCAAGUUUAACGGAGCCGAUCGUCGAUUUGGAAGCCACAUCAUCGAAAAUAACUUGGUAGCACGGAGGCCUCCGUGCUACCGAUAGUAUACCAGCCUUGCUCUAUAUAUAUAUAUAGGGUCCGGCUACUAUACUAUUAUGAGUACGAUCGCCCUCGUACUCAUAAGUUGUUUUCGAUAAUAGAGCUUCCGAAUCGACGAUCCACACCGUUAAACGUUAUUUACAGCAUUUAAAACUUCUAGAAAUCAAAUUUUAUAAUUUUUUGACAUCAUUUACCUUACGAUCAAGAAGUCACAAAUUUGACAAUUUUUAACGGCCGGUAUGAGAUACUUGCUAGUUUAACAAUGCAAAAGAAUCGGAAUUUGUUGAAUUUUUGAUAGAAAAUUCUAUUCACUACAUAGAUAAAGAUCAAUAACUCCGAUCUUGAAUUGAAGAUCCGAUUCAUCUGCCUUUUUUUGAACGUGUUUGAAUUUAUACCAGUUCAAUUUAUGCACUUGAUAGACCUUUAUAUAUUCAAAAUAACGAAAUUUAUUUUCAAGAAGUUUCAAAUACCUAGAAUCAUUAAUAAAGUGAUGUCGAUCGAAUGCGCCAUCAUCCGAAAACAACUUAUGAGUAAGGGCUCAAUACUCAUAAUUAAUAUACCAGGCAAUAUAUAAUAUAUAUAUAAUAUAUAAUAUAUACUUAUAUAUAUAUAUAUAGCUAGCUCAAUAACUAUAAUAGCACCAAUUCUUGUGCUACCCAAGUUUUUGUCACAUAUGAGAUUAAAGAUUACUUACGAAUGGGCCCUCCUAGGUUAGUGGUUGGCUGUUUAAUAGAAAUAUCUAACGUUGAAAACUAUCAAAAGGGUAAUCUAAAUGUGGAAAACUGGAGCACAAAGUGGUUCGCAAAUAGCAUAGUAACCUGACAAUAUAUAUAUACUAUAUAAAUAUAUAUAUUACAUAAUAUAUAAAUACUAUAUAUAGUAUAUAUAAGUCACUCACUAUACUAUUAUGAGUAUGAUCGUCCUCGUACUCAUAAGUUGUUUUCGAUGAUAGAGCUUCCAAAUCGACAAUCCACCCCGUUAAACGUUAGUUACAGCAUUUAAAACUUCUAUAAAUCAAAUUUUAUAAUUUUUCGACAUUAUUUAUCUUAUGAUCAAGAGGUCACAAAUUUGACAAUUUUUAACGGUCGGUAUGGGAUACUUGCUAGUUUAACAGUGUAAAAGAAUCAAAAUUUGUUGAAUUUUUGAUAGAAAAUUCUAUUCACUACAUAGAUGAAGAUCAAUAACUCCGAUCUUGAAUUGAAGGAUCCGAUCCUCCUUUUUUACGACGUCGUUUGAUUUUGACUAUUCAUUUUAUGCCCACUUGAUGGACUUUAUUAUGAUUUCGAAAAUUUACGAAAUUUAUUUUCUAAAAGUUUCAAAUACACUAGAUUAUAUUUAACGAAGUGGAUCGUCGAUUCGGAAGCUCCAUCAUUGAAAACAACUUAUGAGUACGAGGGCUCCAAUACUUAUAAUAGUAUAGUAGCCACAGCCUAUAUAUAUAUAUAUAUAUAUAUAUAUAUAUAUAUAUGAUACGGCUCUUAUGCUUUAGAAAGUUAGAAAGUAUGGUUGCCUAUGUGCUUAUAAGUUGUUUUCGAUGAUGGGACAUCCAAUUCUACGAUUGAUUUUGUUAGAUAUAAUCGACGCUAUUAAAAUUAUUUAGAAAUCAAAUUUUAUAAUUUUUCGACAUUAUUUGUUAAGUGAUCAACAUGUCUCAAAAUUGACCAUUUUAUUGAACAAUGCGGCACUUUUGUUAGUUCAAUGGUGUAGAACGAUCUAAAUUAUAUAAAAUUUUAAUAGAUUAUUCUACUUAUCAUGAAGAGCUAUAUCAAUACGUUUGAUUUAAAAGUUGAAUCCUUUAUCAUUAUUUUUUAUUUGAUUUUUAUUUUCAGCCGCUCAUUUUGAGGCUGAACUUCGUUCACUCGCAAACGAGAUUAAAAAAAUUAUAAAGUUUUAUUUUUGGAUAGUUCAAACACUGUAAAUCAUGUCUGACAGAACCGAUCGCCGAUUUCGGACGUCCCAGCAUCCAAAACAGAACUAUCAAGCACGGAGGUCUCUGUAUUUCUUUUGCUAAUUCGUAUUGAAGGGUGAUAUUAAAUCGGUCUAUUUUCGGCAUCAUAUACAUAUUCUAAAGUGGAUGGCAUAGAAAACUUGACAUGUUUUAGGGCCAUGCUUAACAUCAGGGGUCUCAGGAAUAAACUGUUCUUGGUUAUUCUUUGUUAUAGAUACAGUUCUUGAGAUAAUUGUUGAGAUACAUAGGAAGAAGAACAAUUUUUUGUUUACAUGAAAAUUGAAUUUUUUCAAAAAUAGAAAAAUAGCGUUUGGAUAGUGAGAUUUGAAUAAUGAGAAUAAGAAUUACUAUAGUUUGAAAAUGAUAAUAUUUUAGAAAUAUGAAUUAAAUAAUAAUUUAAUUUAUUAUUUACUUAACUAAUUAAUCAUGAAUAUUGCUAGAUAAUCAUAAAUGUUAAUUAAUAAAUUAAUUAACAAUGAAUACUGUUAAUUAAUAAUUUAGUUAACCACAAGUAAUUUAAUAAUUAAUAAAUUAAUAAAUUAAUUAUUUAAUAGUUAGAUAAUUAGUUGAGAAAAUAAUUAGAUUAAUCAAAAUAUUAAUUAGUUAAUCAAAGUAAAUAUUAGUUAUUGUAUAAAUACAAUAAAUAAUUAAUUUUUUAUUAGCUAAUUAAUUAUAAAUAAUAAACUAAUUGAUCAAAUAGUUAAUUAUUAUUUCACCAACAAACCACUCAACCCUCCCUGAUAUCAUACUAUUAAUAGUGUAUAUAUAUAUAGUGUAGAGCUACUAUGCUAUCAGAAGCAUAGAGAGUUUUAUGUUUUCGACUUUUUGACCCAUAGAUCAAAAAUUAUACAGUUGGGAUGAUUGCGGUCUCCCCUAGGAUUGAGUAGUACCCCUAGGGUUGAGUGGUCCCCAUAGGGUAAUAGUAUUAAUCUAAAUGUUAGAAAUGAUCAAAGGGGUUGAUCUAAAGGCCAAAAAGUCGGAAGCACUAAAUCCUUUAUACUUUUGAUAGCAUAGUAGCUCUACUAUAUAUAUAUAUAUAGAGAAAGAGAGAGAGAGAGAGAGAGGAGAGAGAGAGAGAGAUGAUUAAUAGAGAGUUGAGCUGGACUACUAUCGGUAGCUAACGGGCUCUAUUGCCACUCUUUUAUUUUCGAUGAUCGAGUCUCCAAAUCGACGAUCGAUACCGUUGAACAUGGUCUAUACCACUUAAAGCACCUAGAAAUCAAAUUUUAUACUUUUUCGAUAUCGUUUUCUUGUCUAUCAAGUGGACACAAAAAUGAACUGCUGAAAAUGAAUAUACUUUAAAAAGUGAUGAUAGGAGUUUUGUAAUCAAGAUCAAGAGUAUAGAUCUUGUUUUAAAUAGUUUAAAGAAUUUUCUAAUCAAAAUUCAAUUGUUUUGGAUAUUUUUAUGCCGUUAAAUAAGAAACGUCUCAUAUUAAUCGUUAAAAUUAUAAAUUUUAAAACCUUUUGAUCGUUAGGCUAAUGAUAUCGAAAAGAUUUGAAAUUUGGUUUCUAGAUAUUUUAAGUGGUAUAGAUCACGUUCAAAAGUGUCAAUCGCAUAUAAUAUGUUCGUUGCAUAUCAUCUCAUCACCCCACAUCGAUAUCAAUAUCGUAGUACCAGCUGCCUGCUCCUCUCUUAUGUCACGCUCUGGAUUAUAGCGGAAGUUCGUGUUGCGUCAACAGACUCGCCGCAUGCACAAGGAUAUACUUUAUAUAUACGAAGCGUCAACAAAAUAUGUUAAAAAAAUUUAACUAAAUCCAGAAAUAACAGGUAUCAGAGUAAAAUCAAAACUAUAUACUAUAGCAACAAUAUAGAUAUACAAUCAUCAUCACACUAAUUAUCAAAAUGAUACAACAUUUCUUGCCACUCCAAAUCUCAAAAUACUGUACACGCUGUAUUCUUACCUCAAUCAAUCUAGUGUUGAAGGUUUUGAAAUAAAAUAUUAAUAGUUACUAUUACUAGCGUGUAGACAUCAUAAGUUCUAAUCAGAAAUAUUUUUGCACUCGAUGUGGGACUAUUGGGGCGUUACAAACUCGCCCUGUUUAAACCCUAACAUUCAAGUUAGGUCCAAAUCAAAUCACAGAUGUAGACCAGAAUUACCAGGUAAUGUGAGGUUCUUGAGGUGGGGUUUAAACCAGAUCACAGAUGUGGAUCAGAAUUAUCAGAUGAUGUGAGAUUCUUAAGGUGGCUCCUACUGGUUCAAAAGGUGGCUUCCACCAAAUCCGUUGGUGUAGCACUUUGCCCCGCAUAGCACUUAACUCUCACACUUCCGACUAGUACCGAAAAAUACACGUGCGCGCACUUGACUCGUUCGCUCGUUACGAAGAAACGAAGCCUUUUUUUUUCCCUAACUGCCUAAUCUCUCAACCUCCUCUCUCUCUAAAGCCAACUAAAGAAUGAUAAGGGUAGACUCCACCUAAAUAAAAGGCAAAAUGUCUUUAAGCCCCUCAAAUAGCAACUAUUUCAAUCUUAGUCUCCCACGAAUUAAAUUUUAAAUUUUUGAGUCUGUUUUUGCGUCUAUUUCGCGCCAAAAUGUUGACUUUGGGACAAGAUGGUGCUAAAAAAUAUUAGUACGUGGAGAGGCGUUAUUAUAAACAAUUCAGUUAUUAUAUCAAUAAAAGUACACAUUAAUAUUCAUAAUCAGGUAAAUAUACUAUUUAAUAUUUUAUUUUUUAAUAAUAUUUUAAUUUAUUUAACAGGAUUAUUAUUUAGCAAUGAAUUUUAUCAGUAAAAUUGUGCUUAAUCCACCUAUCCAAAAACUAAAGAAAUAAAAUUAGGGUAACUUAUGUGAAUUCUUAUUAAUUUUUUAUUUUUUAUUAAUUUUAUAUAUUUAUAAAAAUUUUUAUUAAUUGGUUUUUUAUACGACGUGAAAUUAAAUAUUUUUAAUUGACAAACGGAAUUCUAGAUGGAAUAAAAAAAUAUUUUAUAUAUAUUGAAAAAAAAUUAACUAAAGACAAAUUAGGUUUGAAAAAUAAAUUGGUUUAAAAAUAUCUAUCAAAUUAACAAUUGUUUAAUUUCAAAUAAUAGAAUGAAAAUUAAAUUAAAAUUAUAAGUUUAAUCAUAAAUUUAAAUCUAAAUUCAAACUUUUUAUUUAAUUUUUAAAAUUAAAUUUAAAUUUUAAGUUUUGGAUAAAUAUUAGUUUUAAAUUUUAAGUUUAAAGACAAAUAUUUAUGGUGUAACUUAAUUAGAAACAUACUUUGAAACAAAUCAAAUUUAGAAAAUAAAUCAAUUGAAAAAUAAACUCUGUUACUAAUAAUCUUUUAAAUUAAAAAUAUAGAUUCAUUAUUUAUUUUAAUUUAAAAUUUAUAUUCAAAUUUAAUUUAAUAUGCAAAUGUCAUUGGCUCAUUGCACUGAUUUUUAACUUGUGGCCAAAAAAAAAAAAAAAAAUCUUAGGAAGCCCAAAUUGUACAGUUUGGGCCCACUUGGGACGAGCCUUAUUCAAGUGGUUGCUUAUGAACGGUCUAGAUCUAACACUGUGACGUGUACAUCUAAAUCCUGGACGUCCGUUGUGUAAUGCUACACGGACCCCAAAAGUACACCAAAAUAUAGGCGUUGAGUUUGUUUGCACACGUGGCAGCUUUUCAAGUGAGCUGGACAAAUUUAACCCAAUCGUUAGAUGCCACAUCAGCACAUCUGACUCACUGGUGUUUAGUGUUUCAUACGUUCUUAGGUGGGCAUAGCAAUCGUUUUGGAUAGGCCUUAAACUUGUACGUGCAUCUUACACUUUAGUCCCUAACUAUCAAAAACUUAUUUUUAUAUAAUAAUAUAAUAAUUUUAUUGCUCAUUUUAAAAUAGGAAAAACUUCAAAUAUCAUUCCUGUAGUUUCGCACUUUUUUAAUUUAGUAUCAUGUGAUUUAAAGUAUAUCAAUUUAGUGCCUCAUGAUUUCAUAUUAUCUUUUUAUUAUUCCUUUCACUAAUUUUUUUUAUUAAAUCAGUGACAAAGUUAAAACUAAAAGGUACUAAAGUGAAUAUUCGAUAAACCUAGGUAGGGUAUCUGAAGUUUUUUGUAUAUAAUUUAACGAAAUGUCAACGGAGGAACUGACGAAAAGAGAAAAAUGAAACCACAUGGUAUUAAAUUGAUACACUUUAAACCACAAGGUACUAAAGUGAGAAAGUGCAAAACCAAAAUGAUGCAAGUCUUGGAUAAGAAUCUACAACGCACUAGAACGCCUUUGUUGAUCCUUUACUCCGACAGCAUCUAGGGUUCCUUGAACAAUGUGACAUCUCACACCGGGUAAAUCCUUCGGAUUCCAGCAUCGAAUAGAUCGGCGGAUAAGAAUAUUUGUCCGGUAGCCGAAAGCAUUACUAGCUUACGCUCUGACCCGAGUAGCAUGGGGCACGUAGAUUCCCGUGUGAAUCAGUAAGGACUACCUUGCAAGGCUAAAUGCUCCUCGGUGACCGAUAGCGAAGUAGUACCGUGAGGGAAAGGUGAAAAGAACCCCCAUCGGGGAGUGAAAUAGAACAUGAAACCGCGGGAUCAUUUACCAUAUCAUAUAAAGAAAAGAAAAAGUCAAAGAAAAGAUGCCUCGAAGAUAAGAAGUAAAAAAAAUCCAGAAUCUCUUCUUUGUGAUGAUAAUGCCAAAAAAUAUCAAGUUGGCUCAUCUGUCUUUCUUUAUGAAGCUGAUUUAUUCAUUAGUAAAGCCGAAGCCAAUAGGAGUACUAUUGUGAAAAAGUUAAGACCGCUCCAGGAUGUAGUUAUCUGAUAAACAAAGGUGUAGUACUGCUCGUAGUAGCGGUCCUUAUAUCUUGUAUUAACAAUCGAAAGAUGGUUGAAAGAAAAAAUCUCUGUUUGAUGGGGCUUCUUCCUAUACCUAUGAAUUCCAUUGGACCCAGAAAUGAGACAUUGGAGUAGCUGUUAAUACGAAUAACAGAAACUUUGUUAUAGCCAUUUCUGUACAUUCAAUGUACUCUAUGGAUAGAAAAAUACAUAGAGUUGAACACAGUAAAAUAAGAAAUUGAAAGAUUUCGUUAAAAUUGUUCAUUUGGAAAUUUCUCAAAUAUCAAAUUAACUAUCGAGCCGUGAAAAAGAUUCAACAAAAGACAGAAAAAAAUCCACUAUCUGUUUUACGUCAAGCAAUACGUGGAGUAACUCCCGAUAUAGCAGUAAAAGCAAGACGUGUAGGCGGAUCUGACAAAGGCUUUUUACUCUGUUCAAUACAUAAUGACUGAGGCCAACUUUGGUUGGUUAAUCCGAUCAGUUCAUCGAUGAUCAGUAAGUAUUAGUUCUCAUGAUGAUCUUGCACGUAUUUCGUGUGUAUCUCACAGGUGGAUUUAAAAUACUGCUGUUUUUAGUUUUGGAUCUUCCAAAUCAUUCCUGCAGUGGAUCUGGACCGAUUUUUUUUUUAUCCUUCGAUAAAAAGAUUCAUUCUCUUAACAACGGAUACCCAAUAUUUAGGGGAUCCCUUCCCCGAACCCAUAUGCAUUUCCGCGGGUCUUACUGUAACAAGUUUGUCUGGAAAUGGUUAGAAAGAGAAAUAUAUGCAGCAAUACAACAACGUAUUGGGUCUGAAUAUGCUGGGCCGUUGGGAAUUCUUCAAGCUAUAGCGGAUGGGACUAAACUACUUUUUAAAGAGGACCUCCUCCCAUCUCGAGGAGAUAUUCGUUUGUUUAGUGUGGGACCGUCUAUAGCGGUUAUAUCAAUUCUACUAAGUUAUUUAGUAAUUCAGGUGGUAUUUGAACUUUACCCUUUAAAAUAUUAGUUUAUGGUAAAAGAUAAGAAUUUUUUUUAGGAUAAAUUACAUUGUUGGUCAGAGAGUUUAUGACUCGCAAUCUAGCUCGUUGUUUGCGAACCAACUCGUGUUCGGUUCAAAACAAGCUCGAGAUCAAUUGCUCGUUUAAUAAGUGAGCUAAACACAAGCUGAAUUUUUUAGUUCGAAAUUUUAAUGAGCCGAACACAAGUUAAGAUCAGCUCGCUUCAUGUUUAGUUCAAUAUAUCUUGAAUAUAUAUUACAAUUUUUCACUAUUUGAAUUUUAAGCAAACUCAAAUACAAAGAAACUAUAUUUUGUAAAUUUUAAUUAUUAGCUUAAGAUUCUAAUUUUUAAUUUUCUUUCAACUUUUCAUACAGUAGUAGACCUGACAAUUUAACUUACUAUUCAUGAUUCGGUAUUUGUUUGGCUCGUUAAUAAACAAGCCGAAUAUGAGCUGAAUUUUUCAGCUUGACAUUUUAACGAGCCAGCUCGUGUUCAACUUCUUUAAUAAAUGUCGGUCCCAGCUCAUUUGUGUUUGGCUCUUUGACGGCCCUAAGUGGACUUACAGUGAAAUUUUGCCUAGGUUACCGAACUUUAAUUUAUUUCAAUAAAUUAUUAAAUUUUAAUCUUUCUUAAUUAUGUCACUUUUUUAUAUAACAUAUAUUUUUUUCCAAAUAAAAUGGUAAAGUAAUAAAUUAUACAACUACUACAUCACAUUUAAUUUAUAAUUUGGAGAUGAUAUUAUUGCCAUUUAAUUACUCCAUCAGUUUUUUAAAAUAAUAUAAUAGUCAAAUAAUAAUUAUUUUAAAAUAAUAUAUUAAUAAUUAAAAUGACUAGCAUGUUUUGUCAUGUCUUUUUUUUUAAUAAUUGAAAUUGAUGUCAAAGUUGAGUACUUGAUUGAAACAAAUUAAAGUUUAGUGGUGUAAUAAAAUUUCACUAAAAUUCAGGGGUCAAAUGUGUUAUUUACCCAUUUUUUAACAGUAAAAAAUUAUAUUAUUAUAUAUAUAUAUAUUUAAGAAUUUGGAAAAUGAAAUAUUAUAGUGAAAUGUGUAGGGACUAUCUUGUAAUAUUGGGUUUGUACAAGGCCCAUCCAUACACUUUAACCAAUAUAAAUAAUUAUAUAAAUUAAUGAGAAAUUCACUCGAAUCGUCUCUGAUCCCCUCUCUCUCUCUCUCUCUCUCUCUCUCUCUAAUGGCGGAAGAAACCCUAACCCGAACCCCGGAGUCCUCUCCCUCGCAUCCGGAGACGCGCGAUGCGGGGAUCGGCGAAUCUCAGGUGCGGUUUGAUCGAUGUGUACAUAUAAAUUUCGUAGCCGUUUCGGCGAUCUCACGCUAUCAGUUUUCGAUCUCUUGUUUGUGGAAUCGAUCGCGAAGUUAGGGUUCGUGCGUUGAUCUCAAUGCGCGCAUUUGUUUUCUGCCCUUUUUGUUGUUGUUGUUAAUUUGGUUUUACGAAGUCGAAUGCUCGUCUCUGAAAUGAUUUCGACCUAAUUACAAGUUGAUAAUUUUUGUUUUCCUGUAUCUCUAUUGUAGUAGUGAGUAAAUUGAUUGUUCAUACGCAACAUUAAAAAUGAUGGAUUUGUAUGGUUUUUGUUGUUCUGAUUAGAAAUGGUGGUGAUCAAAAUGUAGGAUUUUGAAAACCCUAGUCCCUGAUCAGUAAGUUGUCACCCAUGAAUUAUCAUCAAAACACCGCAAUAUAAGGGAUAACCUACCUACCCAGAAACUAAUCCAAAUCCGAUCUGGAAACCUGCAAAAGUUUACCUGGGCUGGUACUCCUAUCUCAAGCUGAAAAUUUGUUUGGGUUUCCCUCAAAAUUUGCUUGGCAUCAACACGAAGAGGGUUGAAUCAAAGAUUUGAGGCACAUGUAGUACUGCUUUCGUGAUGUUUUUUUUCCUAUUUUGUUAUAAUGAUAGUAUGUGAAAGUCCGAGAAACUAUUUGACUAAAUACGUUGAUCUAGAAUUCGCCAGGCUGGUUUGUAGUUUGAAUUGGAUCUGUCCUUAGUUGUAGCAGUUGUUAUCUGCAAUGCACGAAGAAGAGGUUGUGGGUUUAAGCUCUAUUGUGGGCGCUAGCGAAAAAUUGAAAAUAUUAAAAAUAAAAAUCAUGAUCCACAAUAGUGUACUUAGAUGCUUUCCUUUAGCCUUCUUGUUUUCUACCUUUCGAUUUAUUGUUUUAUGUGGUUACCCAGGCAACAAAUAUGUUGCGCUCCCAACAAUCACCAACUGCUGCGUACGAGAUGUUUUCUGCCAUGUACCCCCCAUUCUUACCAGGAGUUCCUCCUUUUCUAAAUCAAGAAGAGAAUGGACAUGGUCAUGGAAUUUAUGCCAUUCCACAGCAUCCCUUUAUGGGGCCUAUGGGUGGCUAUCCUCCAGGUGCUCUUAUUCCACUGAAGUAUAAAAUCCCCACGUAAGUUUUCCGAAUCUUCAUCAUUUCAUCAUGUUUCUGGUUAUUGUGGUGGACAGUAUCUUUUAUUGAUACUCAUAUUGUAACUCAGCAUUUAUUUAUGCUAAAUCUAGUCCAUCUUUCAUUUUUUCUUUUUUUUUCUUUUUUUUUUUCUUUGAAUGAUACUUCGUUGUAAUAGAAUCAGAUUCCCAUGAAAAGGUUAAAAAAUGGAUGAGUUAGGGCUAGUAACAGCAGGUUAAGAUACUGAUUGUUUUAGCUGAUUUUAGAAUUUUGGGAGAACGACCCAACAUAAUAGUAUUUGUGAUUUAUGGUAGGGAAAUAUUGAGUAUUUAUUUUAAUUGCUUUUUUUAAUUAAUUAGAGAAUAUAUUUCGCGAUCUAGUAGUAGAAAUUUGGAAUUUUUAUUGGAAAACAUCCCUAAAAAUCAGGGAUAUUUUUUCUAACAGCAACUUUAGAAUUAGGGCAUUAUUUCAUAUAGAUAAGACCUAUUGGGUCUAUACUCUAUUGUAGCAUAAUGUGCCAGAUGAAUAAAACUUCGAAAGCAGAGCGGUCAAGCUCCUAUUGCCUCUUCUUCAUUCGCUAGUGAGCUGAAUGAGAUAUAACAAAAUGGCAAGAUAUACCAGUGCUAUCAGUUUCAAUUUUGUUGCCAUGUCUAUCACCUUGUCUUUGUCCUUUUUGUCCUGUUUGCUCUUGAUUAGUUCAUCUUGUAAUUCUCAGGAAAUUGCUUGCUUUAUGAGGUUUGUGUGUCUGCUAACCAUCAAUGUCAUCAUGUUGCUUGCAUCAUAAAUUUUCUCUUUAUGCUGCCUCAAAUAUUUGGUACAAUUUGUACUUACGUUAGCGAUGGCCCGUACUAUUAUUGAAAUGAAUCGUGGUGUGCUUCUCUGAGCCCAUGUGGAAACUUUUAUAUGCUUUUCACUAAGUUCUUUAUUGAGUCAAUCCACUGCUUUCUUUACCUUUCUAAUGCGUCUUUCUUUCUUCCUUUCCUUGUGUUCAAACAAAAGAUAGCACACACUGCAGGGUUUCUUUGAACAAAAUUUUCACCCUCUCUUAUCGACUAAUCAGCUGGUAGAUAUAUGAAAUAGUACCUUUUUGCCCACCAAAUAUUUCUGCCGAGUGCUGCUUGAGUAGAGUCAACAGAAGAAGCACUGCACUAACAGUUUUUUUAUUACAAUACGUCAUCAACUUCCUAUUGCAGUAGAAGUAGAAAGCUUCAUCUUGGAGCUUCUGCUUUGGGGCCGGAAGGCCCGUUUUAGCUUCGUGACUUAGCAAUAGCUUUAGGCUUGUUGUUAGACCCAACAUUUGGUUUUUGUAAGCUUUUUUUGGAGCACAAAGAUGUUCUAGAAGCCAACCAAAAAGGUGCGCAGAGUAUAGUACAUGAACUUAUGCAUCUCUUUGAUGUUUUCCCCCCUCCAUGUCAUCAUUUAUAGGAGGGAAAGUUCUGGAGCAGUAGCUGUUGAAGAGCAGCAGGGGCAGGGGCCUAGGCAGCCGCAGCAGCAGAAUGAUCAUCAAAGACAAGUCGUUGUGAGGAGAUUCCACUUUGCUUUUCAGCUCGACUUGGGACUUAUCAUAAAAUUGGCAGCUGUAGUGUUUUUGUUCAGCCAGGAAGGUUCAAAGCAGAAGUUUAUUCUCCUUGUGUUCUUCGCCUCGCUGGUUUAUCUGUGAGCACUACUUGAGCUUUUCUGCUUCAGUUUUUUUGUUUUUUUUAUUUCUUGUUGGAUGAGUUUGUGAGUCGAGUAAAAGUGACCCCUCUAAAAAAAAUUGUAGUUCUUGUCAGGGUAAAAUGCUCAUAUAGCCCUUAUAUAUUCACUACUUGCGACCUAUUUCCUAGAUGUUGGUAUUCUCCGAAACGAAAAAGAAAAAAUUGCCAACUUUUCAUCCAAACAAUUCAGUCCCAGAUUUUGCUACACUUUGCAAUUAUAUCCCUUCCCCUUUAGCCAUUCAAUAUGACCCUUUUUCCUGUGAGAAGGAUUACCUGUAGAGCAUGAGAAAGAACAGAUUUAAGUUUUUUCGGGCGUUAAACAGGGUUAAAAAAGUUCAGGUAUUAAUUGGGCAAGUGAAAAGUUCUGGGAUUAAGUCGCAAUAUUAAGAAAGUGCGAGGAUUAACUAUUCAUUUUACACUUGUCAUAGAUUGGGUUUUUUUUUUCCCACAUUCCGAGCCAUUUUGUAUUCUACAGUUAUCAGACUGGUGCUCUUGCGCCGUUACUUAGAUGGAUUCGCCGAGGCGUUGCACUUCCUCCACCUCAGCCACCUGUUCGGUUAGAUAACCGGAUUCCUCCUGAGCAUGACAACCGGAAUGAUGCUCCACCAGGUAUACUAUUAAAUUUUGGUUUGUUAAAACACUUCACAAGUUAGGGCCUGAUCGCAAUCGCCUGCGACUAAUAAUCGAGCUUACUACAGACCUCUUUGUCCGAUCAUGGCCAAUCUUUUAUUCAUUUGAGUCAAAUUUAAAUCUCCACAUCCAGUUUGGCCUUGCUUCCGGAGCAGCUUGUCUGUUCUGAGAAACUGCAGGCAGGAGUUUUGGCAAAGCAUAAAGUUUGGAGCUUUCGCUGUGCCGAGAAGCUGAGUAAGCUUCUGCAUUCAAAAGGAGAAGCUCUUUUUGAUGCUUUUGCUCCCACUGCACCUAGAGGCUGCUGGAAAAGAUCUGAAUGAAAAAGUUGUUUUGUGCUUCUCAGAGAGAGCGGCUCUAUUCAAACAGCAUUUCGGCACAAGCUUUAGCCUUGCGCGUUGUUGAGCAGGCUCAAAUCUCCUCAAUUUGGUGCAGUACGCUUGUGAUCACUUACGACACAAUCUUUUUAAACUGAAUUUCUCACAAUUAUACAUACUAAUUUGGUCCAGAGGAAAACCUCGAAGCCGAGAAUCAGAAUCAGAACCCGAACCCGAAUGAGAACCAGAACCAGAACACAGGAGACGAAGUACCACCGGCCGCGAACGAGAACCGGCCCGAACCCGAGAGGAGGAACGGACUAAAUUGGUGGGGUAUCGUGAGAGAGGUCCAGACGUUUGUUGUCGGCUUUGUCACUUCCCUUCUUCCAGGGUUUCAACACAAUGAUUAGUUGCCCUCUCUCUCUCUCUCUCUCUCUCUCUCUCUCUCUCUCUCUUCCCCAAGUGUUUUGUAAAAGUUAUAUAGAGAGACGUUCUCAAAGAGAAAUCGGAAUGUUCUGGUUCGAGAGUAAAAUGUUGUUUUCUUUUGUUUAUUAUGAAUGUAAACUCCGUAUUUUGUCAUCAAAUCACCCCUUUUCGUGGGUUUUAACCUAAAUUUGUGUAAUUUGUCAAAUAGGAUGUGAUUAUCGCUUUCGAUGUGAAUUUAUGUUAUCCUUUGCUUGUGAUUUGAGUUUCGCAGACACUUUGCCUCUUCGUCGUGAAAGUUUGGAUUCAAAUCUUUUAGUCCGCAGAUGAUGUUAACCAUCGAAAAACUGAGCUGUAGAAAGGAGAAGAAAAUUUGAAGCGUAUGCAAUUUGAAACUAAUCUUAUUCAUCAGCAGGGAUUGCAUUUGGUUUCUUGUUUUACACUUUAUGACCUCUCUCUCUGUCUCCUGGAUGUAGAGAUCAUUUGAUUUGUAGAGGGAGAAGCGGACGGCGUCGAGUCAUCGACCGUGCUCGUCAUCAUCUGUUGCAGAACUUGCGAAAAUGCUGCCGACUUCUGCUGUCGUGAGCCAUCUUUAUCUGUCGUCGACCGAUUCAGACCAUCGCUGCUGGCUGUUGCGACCACCUACGAGACUCCGGUUGGCACAGCCUGCGACCCCCGAACAUCGAGUUAGGGAUUCAACCCUCCAGUUUCGUUCGGUUCCGACACCGCGAGAUCAUGGGAGGGUGAUUUCAGUUUAUGCCCUUUCAGGUAAGUGCAGAUAGAGCUGCAUGCAUAGAUGCCUAAUCUUUUGUUUUGUUUUAGUUUUUACUAAAAUACAGUAGGCCUUCUAUUCAUAUCCACUUUUUUGACUUUUUUUUUUUUUCUGACUUUCAAAAAUUUAUAUUUACCUCUUCAAAGUUAAAAUAUAUUUUUAGAAAGUUACGGCGUUAGUGGAAAGAUCGAAAUGACCAAACUGUCCUUACUUAUUCUGCAGGAAAAAAAAAUAUUUGUUUAAUGUGAUUUCGUCAUUUUUAAGUAUCUGUUUAGUAUAUGUAGUCGAAUUUUAUAAGAAACAGAUAGAAUAGUAAUGAAAUCCUAACGGCAAGGAACUAAGUGCAUUAGUUUGAAAUUUUGAGGGGGCAAGAUUUAGAUUUUUAAAACUUAGAAAAGAAAAAGAAAAAAUUGAUAUUUAUAUAAAUUUUUCUGUAUUUUAGCUUUUUUUUUUUUUUGGUUAAUUCCUUUUACCUUGUUAUCAUCCUUUUUUCUUGGUUUAGUUGCUUAUAUUUGAAAAAUCGAUUUAUUUGCUAUUAAAUGCAUGCCGAAAAAUUCUUAAUUUAACCGAAAAAUCCAUAGUUAAGAGAGUGUCAAUAAAAAGAAAAAUAGUAGUUUAAAGCUGUGUAUUACAAAGUUGGUCGACAAAUUAUUAUUAUUGAGUUUUUAUUUUAUUGUUGGACACAAAUUAAGAACAUGGAAUAUGGACAUGUAAAAAGUUGGUUUCCACUGUGCCAAAACAAAAAUAUGCUAUAAUUGUACAAAUAGGGAAUGUCUCAAAAGUUUACAAAAGCAUUUAUAUGUAUUUUUUUUUGCUAAGUUACACUUUUUGUUCUCAAACUACAAAAUUUUUUACCAUAUAAUAACUUCUGAUUCAAACUUUUAAAAGUUUCGCGACAAGUCCCAUAAUGCGAUUUAGUUAACUAAAUGCUGGUACUUUACAGAUGUGGAAGUAAUGUAGUGGUGUUAUGAUUGAUGGCGUGAAAAUAACGUUAUUACCAUAUCAGCGACACAUCAGUAUUUAGUCAACUAAAUUAGACAGUGGGACUUGAUUAUAAUAAUUUUAAAAGUUUGAAUUAGAAAAUUAUAAUAAAUUAAAGUUUGAGAAUUGAAGUGUUACACGCUGCAUAUUUUGAGGACCCAAAGUGCAAUUUAACCUAUCUUUUUAAGAAAUUGUAAUAGCAAAUGCUCAAAUUUUAUAAAAGCAUUUAAACAAAUCUUUUCACAUUGUUUAUGGAUAGAUUUUUUUUUUCCCUUUUUUUUUUAUUAUAAUGCUUGGGAAGCACAAAUUUAGCCAAUAUAAUUUGUUCACACUUGUUGAAAAUCACUUCAGAUUAUUAGAAAUUAGUUCAAAAUAACAGCAGCUAAUGUUUCUUAACAAGGGAUUUAAUGGAUUCUGAGUUACAAUUUGCAAUUAACUUAGUAAUUUUUGUGAACCCAAAUAAGUGUUACUAUGAGAACAUUGAUCCUAAACUAUCUAAGAUUGAUUCAAUUACAAUAGCAAUAACUCAACAAAGGUUACAAUAACAUAAAUAGUAUAUUUUCAUUGUUUACUACCAAAUAAGUUGAGUAUAGGGAUCUUUUUGUUUUUUCUUGGGGAGAGAGAAAAAUAAUAAGCUAUCCACUUUAUUCAUCGGAGAAAUGAACAGAAGAAUUUUUGAGGCAAUUAUUAUCCAAAAGAUCGAUCUAACAGAAAGCAAACCCAUUAAAUUUUGAAGAUAGAGAUUAAACUCACAACCUCAUAGAACAAAGAUGCUCACUUGAAUUUAUAAGCACAGGAGACAUUUUGUACUAAAAAGUAUUGGAUACAUACAACUCUUGGUUAAGAACAUACAUAAAUCAUCUGGAGUUGAGCUCUUGUGGUUUAAAGCACAGGAGCAUUUGUGCUUGUGAUUUUUUAACCAUCGGAUCGUCUUAAGAUUCGUGCAGCAUUACUAACGGUGUAUCCCGUUAAGUUUUCUUUAUUAGUGCUGUACAGAUCUCGAAACGAUCGGAUAGUUAAAAAAUCACAAAUAUGUUGAGCUCGUGUGCUUUUAAAAACACAGUAGUAGCUCAACUCAACCAUCACUUAGGAGCUGCUUGCUUUCAUGCAAUUGCAAUUGCACUACCAUUAUAAUAUAUGCAAAUCCAAAUAUGAUAUUUGCAUGGUUUGAUGCAUAUGAAUUCAAUCAUUACAGUUGGAACUGUA
rnacentral:lncRNA from 1 species